UACGGGGCCCUCCAGGCCCAGUCGAUGGGGCAGGUCCCUCUAAGGGGACCGUAGGCUGAGGAGAUGAAGUGGAAGGCUUGUUCUUGCCUUUGGUUUUCGGUUUAGUCAUUGGGGAUUGGAAAAGAGGGCACAGUCAAGGUGAAGUUGGGUAAAAUGAAGCGGUAACUAGUCAACAAAGCAAGGGGUCCCCAAACACAGCUCCAAGCACCAACAAUUGAACAAAUAGCAACCAAACAGCCCAAAAAUCAAUUAAGUAGAUAAACAAUAAAAAUUUGCACCCAAAAACUAAUUAGACACGUGAACAGCAGACUACUCCCCAAACACUACCAAAUCAACCCAAAAAUCACUUAAUUAGACUAACGCAGCAAAAUUCCCCCAAAAACUAAUUAAAGAAACAACCAGAGUGAAAACUUUCCCCCAAUAUCUCUGAUUGAGCACCAAAUUUCACAAAUAGACCACAAUCAACCACAGAUAUAUCACAGCACCCAAAAUCAAACAAGAAAUUGAAAAUCUGGCCUCAGCUAAGAAAGUAAAAAUCUGUCCUCUUCUAAACAAAAAUUAAAAUCUGGCCUCAGCUAAGUGACAGUAAAUGAAAGAGGAUAUCACCGGAGAAAAAUUUUUCAGCUCAUUUGACAGGUUGAGGAGGGACGCGCGUGGCCUGCGAUGGUGGUCUUGGAGAUCGCGCGCAAUGACUGCAGGAGCUGCGCGCUUGGCUGCUAGAGACGCGCGACUGCAGGCGGGCGGCGGACUGGGCAGCGGACUGGAGCAGGAUGGGCGCGGAGGAGGCUGUUGGCGGCGCGCAGGUGGAGCAGGAGGAGAGCAGCGCUCGGCCUGGGUUGCGCGCGCGCUGUCUGGGCUGUGCGCGCGCGGUCUGCGCGGUGGGCUGACGGCGCGCGGGCUGGUCGACUGUGCAGAGGAUGCGCGAGGCGAGGCUGCGCGGCGAGGCUGGGUUGGAGCUCGCGCGCAGCUGGCGGUGGCGACGCGCUGGGCGCAGGCGCGCGGUCUGUGCUGCGCUGGGCUGUGGCAGGCGGGCGAUCUGCGCUGCGCGCACACGGUCUGCGCGCACGCUACUGCGGCUGGUGGGUCUGGUGGUCCGCGCGGUGGCGAGCAGCGCGGCGAGCUGGGCCGCAGCUUGGUGGACAGCGGCAGCAGCGCGAUGGGCGGCGGCGUGCGGUCAGCGACGGCGGACCAAGCAAGAGAAGGAAAAGAAGAAAAGAAAAAAGAAAGAAAAGGAAGAACUACGGAAGUUUUUUUUUUUUUUUUUUUUUGCUUGAACGUGACCACCUGGCGUGGGCACGCUCAACUGCUCUGAAUCCCGCAGAACCUGAGCGAGAAUUCCUUUUCCUCAGAACCUGAUCGAAAAUUUCCUUCGUCAGGCGUGACCACCUGGCGUGGGCACGUCUAACUACUAUGGAGUUCGCAGAACCUGAGCGAAAAUUUCUUUUUCUCAGGCGUGACCACCUGGCGUGGGCACGCCCAACCACUAAUCUCCUGCCACAAAAUAUCAAACCAUCAAUUGACACUAAUACAUAACUAAAACUUCACAAAUGCAUGAAAACUGAAACAAAUAGUCUUGGGUUGCCUCCCAAGUAGCGCCUUUCUUUAAUGUCUUUGCUAGACAUGGCCAAAACCCUCAAGCCUGAUAAAAUGGAUCUUGGAGGUGUUCAACUUCUGCUUCUUCACCAUAGAAACCCUCAUAAUAAGGUUUGAGACGAUGGCCAUUCACCACGAACUUUUUCUCCGUUUUUAAACUUUGGAUCUCCACUGCACCAUAAUGGAACACCUUAGAAACGACAAAUAGACCAAUCCAACGAGAACGCAACUUACCGGGAAAAAGUUUAAGCCUUGAGUGAUACAAGAUAACUUUUUGCCCCACUACAAAAGUUUUCCUAGAAACCUGCUGAUCAUGAAAGACUUUACUCUUUUCCUUAUAGAUCGUAGCAUUCUCAUACGCUUCAUUUCUUAUUUCCUCUAACUCUUGUAGCUGCAAUUUCCUUUGGACCCCUGCUUCGUCUAAUCCAUGUUACAUUGCUUCACUGCCCAAAACGCCUUGUGUUCGAACUCCACGGGGAGAUGGCAAGCCUUACCGAAGACAAGUCUAUAUGGAGACAUCCCAAUCGGCGUCUUAUACGCGGUUCUAUACGCCCAUAGUGCGUCUUCGAGCUUUAAACUCCAAUCCUUCCUAUCCGGACGCACCAUCUUCUCCAAGAUCGACUUGACUUCCCUGUUCGACACUUCGGCCUGACCGUUUGCCUGCGGGUGAUACGGUGUGGAUACCUUGUGCAGUACACCGCCGUAUUUUCGAAACAAGGCGUGAUAGUCUUGUUGCAGAAAUGUGUCCCUCUAUCACUAACCACAGCUCUUGCAUUCCAAAACGGACGAAGAUAUUAGAUUUAAGAAAUCUGCAACCACUUUAGAAUCAUUAGUACGGGUGGCUUUAGCUUCCACCAUUUAGAGACAUAGUCACAGCAAGUAAAAUGUAUAGGAAACCAAAGAUGAGGGAAAAGGACCAUAAAAUCUAUCCCCAAACAUCAAAAAUUUCAACACAACAACAUGGGGUUUGAAGCAUUUGGUCCACAAAAAAUAUUCCCUACCCUUUGACACCUAUCACAGGAUUUACAGAAUAAAUAAGCAUCUUUGAACAGGGUAGGCCAAUAAAAGCCACUCUCUAAACUUGCGAGCUGUUCGCUUGGGCCCAAAAUGCCUCCACAUGCAAAUGAAUGGCAAAAAUUUAAAAUGGAGUGAAAUUCACCUGCACUUACACACCUCCUGAGCACUUUGAUGCCGAACAUUGUCUCCAAAGGUACGGGUCGUCCAAAUGUAAUAUUUGGCAUCACUCUUCAACUUAUCUCUCUUAGCCUUCGCCACCCUGCAGGCAGUUGAUUAGUCACUAAAAAGUUUACUAAAUCGGCAUACCAGGGUACAGACGCGUUCACAGCGAGUAGUUGUUCCUCUGGAAAUGCCUCCCUCAAUGGUGGCUCCUCCUUAUGAGCAAGCAAGCGGCUCAAGUGAUCAGCAACUAAAUUUUCUGCCCCACUUUUAUCCUUAAUCUCCAAGUUGAACUCCUGAAGGAGCAGGAUCCAUCUGAUGAGCCUUGGUUUAGCAUCCUUCUUUGUCAUCAAGUAUCUCAAGGCUGCAUGAUCAGAGAAAACUGUUAUUUUUGCACCUAACAAAUAAGGUCUAAAUUUUUCUAAUGCAAAAACCACAGCUAGCAAUUCUUUUUCUGUUGUAGAGUAGUUGAGUUGAGCUCCAUUUAACGCCUUCGAUGCAUAAUAGAUUGCAUGUGCAGCUCUGCCAAUCCGUUGCCCCAGCACCGCUCCCACUGCAUAAUCACUCGCGUCACACAUUAUCUCAAAUGGGAGGCUCCAGUCUGGAGGUUGGAUAACAGGUGGUGAUGUCAAUGACUCCCUCAACCUGUCAAAUGCCACCUUGCACUCUUCGGUGAAGUCAUAUGCUACAUCUUUUUGCAACAUUUUGAACAGGGGCGCUCCAAUUUUGGAGAAAUCUUUGAUGAAUCUCCUGUAGAACCCUGCAUGACCCAAAAAGGAGCGCACCUCCCGCACACUUGCGGGGUAAGGUAAAGCAGAAAUAAUAUCGACUUUUGCCUUGUCUACCUCUAUACCCCUGGCCGACACUACAUGCCCUAAAACAAUGCCCUGAUCCACCAUGAAAUGACACUUUUCCCAAUUUAAAACUAAAUUCGCCUCAAUGCACCUCUUCAAAAUUAAAGCUAGAUUAUCCAGGCAUUCAUCAAAACUAUCUCCAUACACACUAAAAUCAUCCAUAAACACCUCAAUAAUCUUUUCUACAUAUUCAGAGAAUAUACUUACCAUACACCUCUGAAAAGUUGUUGGGGCGUUGCAGAGGCCGAAAGGCAUCCUCCGGUAGGCAAAUGUACCAAAGGGGCAGGUGAAGGUAGUUUUCUCCUGAUCCUCUGGUGCUAUUGCAAUCUGAAAAUAACCAGAGAAACCAUCAAGAAAACAAUAAUAGACACGGCCAGCUAACCUCUCUAUCAUCUGAUCAAUAAAAGACAGAGGGAAGUGGUCCUUCUUCGUCACAGCAUUCAGACGCCGAUAGUCAAUGCACUGGCGCCAUCCUGUGGGUUUCCUCACCGGGACCAUCUCACCCUCUUGGUUCUCUUCAACUGUUACUCCCGCCUUUUUCGGGACUACUUGCACCGGGCUCACCCAGGGGCUAUCUGAGAUGGCGAAGAUGAUCCCCACUUCUAGGAGUUUAAGUAUCUCAUUCUUGACCACUUCCAUCAUUCGUGGGUUCAAUCUCCGUUGCCCUUGUCUAACUGGCUUUCCAUCAUCCUCAAGCCGGAUUCGAUGCAUGCAUAAGGAGGGGCUAAUUCCCUUGAUAUCUGCUACACUCCACCCAAUCGCCUCCUUAUGAUCUCGAAGAAGACGAAUUAGUCUAUCUUCUUGCCCUGGUGACAGGUGUGCAGAUAUGAUGACUGGCAGUGUCUCAUUGUCCCGAGAAAAGCAUACUUCAAAUGCUUUGGGAGAGGUUUGAGCUCCAACUCAGGCGCCUGCACAAUAGAAGGCAACAAUUUUGCCUGAGUUUCUGGUACAAAAAUGAAGUAAGCUCAUACCUUGGGGAAAUUGGUGGGAGCGAAUGCAGUGCUCCAACAGCGUGGUAUAGCUCAUCAUUUAUUUCUACAUCAAAAGUUGCUCCCAACUCAAGAUGUUUGGCCAAUGCCACUGCCAGUGCAUCAACCCCAUCCAAUUUAAAUAUUUCCUGUACAAGGGGCUCAACAACACUUAAAGCAUAAACAGAGUUAGUCUCAUCUGGGUACUUCAUCGCCUCAAAAAUAUUAAAAUUUAUAAUUUCCCCAUCAAACUCCAUCGACAAGGUACCCUCAUUUACAUCUAUUUUCGUCCUAGCAGUGCUUAAAAAUGGCCUACCUAAUAGAAUAGGAGACGGAUUUAGUGCCCUUUCAUCCCCCAUGUCUAGGACAUAGAAAUCUGCAGGGAAAACUAACUCAUUGACCUGUACCAAAACAUCUUCAACUAACCCUUCCGGGUAAGCAUUGGUACGGUCUGCAAGUUGGAUUAUAAUGCCUGUGCCUUUUAACGGGCCAAGAUUUAGAGAUGCAUAGAUUGUCUUAGGCAUAACAUUAAUUGACGCCCCCAAAUCCAACAUUGCUUUCCUAAUUGGAGUACCUCCUAUCUUGCAGGGAAUGGUGAACAUACCUGGGUCUCCACAUUUUGGUGGGAGUUUUCUGGAGUAUAGCUGACACGUUUUCUCCCACCGCCACUCGUUCAUCUCCCCUUAACUUUCUCUUGUGGGUGCACAAGUCCUUCAAAAAUUUAGCAUACUUCGGUAUCUGCUUGAUUGCAUCCAACAGGGGAAUGUUGAUCUCCACUUUCCGAAACACAUCCAAGAGCUCUUUUCCUUCUCUACCUUCUUUGUCUUUUCCAACCUACAAGGAAAAGGGGGUAAGUUAGAGCUAAUAGUGAGUGGAGAGGUGGGGUUACCUUAGGAUCCUCACGAACACGUCCUUCCUCCUCAAUUUCCUUUUCUAUCUCCUCCUCGCUUUUGCUUUUUAAUUUUUCACUUUAGGCCCUUCCAACUCCUUGCCACUCCUCAGCGUCAUGGCACUUACAUUCCUGGGAUUUACCUCGGAUUGCGAUGGCAGUUUCCCAUAAACGUGAGACUCCAAGCGGUUGAUGGCAGUUGCCAUUUGACUUAUUCGAACAUCCUGGUCCUUCUUGUUAGCUUUGGUGUCCUGCUGGAGCUGCGCGGUAUUCGCGGUCAAGGAUCUGAUCUCCUCUUGAAGCUGUGUAGUAGUCGUGACCAGGUUGGUAGUAGUAGUGGCCAGGUUCUUGACUAUGUCCUCCAAGGAGCUUCCUGAAUUGGAGGAUGAGGGUUGAGAUUUUGGUUGCCAAGGCUGGUGGAAUCCUGGUGGACGAUUCGGGAAUGAACCUUGUUGCCUGUUCCCAUAACUGAGAUUGGGAUGGUCUCUCCAACCGGGGUUGUAUGUGUUGGAAUACGGGUCAUACUGCCUGCGGGGCGCGGGCACGCCUACGGCCAUAUUUACCUGUUCCGCCCCGUCCUCUUGCAGAAUGGGGCACGAAUCCGUGCAGUGGUCCAUGCCAGUACAGAUUCCACACACCUUUGCUCGCGGUGUGUCUCUCAUGGCCAAUUGCCUGACAGCAGACUUCAACUCUGACAAUUGCUGCUGGAUGGAUGACAUCUCUGCCUCAUUGACUCUACGGGUAGGAUUGCUCUCACUGACAGGUGCCGAACCUGUGCAAUAAUAAUAAAUAAAUCCUAACUACCACCUGAAACAGCUAGUAAUCAAUUCGAGUACUGGAGCAGGGACUCUAGGUGUGCAAUGGGUUACUUGAUUCACCCUGUUCCCGAAGAGUUUGCUUAAUCCGAUAUACCUGAAUUAAUUAUUUAACUGAACUCCCUAACUAGUAGACAGUGGUAAGCAGGGUCGUCUCCUCAGGGAUUGGAGAGAUAUUCGUUUCUUUUCAAAUCAAGAUUAAUGGGGGGGGUUUUGGUAUCAAAAGCCAACUGAACAAAUUAAAUGCAGAAAAUAAUUAAUUAAAAGAAAUAACUAAGAGAAACUCUAGCCAAGGGUAUACUUCAGAAAUAGUUCAUGCACUGAUCAUUGAUACAAAAGUAAUUCCAACACUUAUUAAUAGAUUGGUUAUAGUUGUCUCGCACGCGCUAAACAACCAACCCUUCCUCAAUUUAUCGAUAGCCAAGGUACGACCGUUAGCUAUUUCUCUAACCCAAAAACAACCCUAGGUACGACCGUAGGAUUUAGUUUCCAGAUUGCGUUAGUAAUUAGAAAGGCCCAAUCCUGACUAACAAACAUGCUACGAGGGUUCAUUCAAGCCAUAUCAAAUAUUCCCCUGACACAGGUCCAAUUGUGCCAGUUGCUACUGGAAUAGAAGUAACGAACAAUUACGGAUUCAAUCACCCCUAUAUAGCAAAAUAGCUUAUAUGAACAAUUAAUUAUUGCGCACUAAUCAAUCAUACAUAAGGCUAUAACACUUAGAAACAGGAAAUAUAUAAAUAUUAAUAAAUGGAGGAAAUAGUUAAAAUAAAUUCGAUCUCACAGUAAUUUCUGAACCAAAUCGUCAGUUGUCCCCUUGACUAGAAUUGGAGAAUUAGCUCCUCAUAAUUAGAGUAUAGGCCAUGCGGCAAAGCUGGAGGAAGCCGUCAAUUCUUUAAUCUAGGCAAACGGAAGACUUGACCUUCGUUCACUUCGGUCAACCGAAGAGAGAAAAGAACGACAAUGGAUUACGAUUGCUUCAAUUUCCUUCGGUCAAAGCCAGAAUGGAAAGCAAUGACCAAAGUCCACGAUUGCGGCUCUCUUUAGCUUUCUCUCUUCUCUCACGCAAGAAAACAUACGAGAGAUUGGAAGAUUGUAAUUGUUUUUUUUUCACUUCUCAAUUUGGUCAAAGAACAAUGAAUAGUUCAUAGAAUCCCCCCAAAGUCAACAAAAGUGGCUGGUGUCUUCUGCCUUUUCUCUACAAAGCUGCGGCACUCCGUGUCCUACCGAAAGCAACGAAAACUAAUUACCCCCUAACCUAAGCCGCCCAGGCAGAUCAAAUACCAAUCCCCCACAAUAGCCGAAAAAUUGUUACUUCUUAAAAUUGCAGCCAGACUCCCUAGAAAUAUAUUAAAAUAAAAUCUAUUACAAUUAGGUUUCUUCAGCUUCUCAAACGGGCCCCACGUCCGGUGAAUCUUCUAAAAGUUGAAUUUAAGCACUUUUCAGCAACCGUUCCUGCAAUUAGCACCAAAACAAAAUAUCAGUAGAAUCCACCCAAUUAACAAAAAUAUUUAGCCAAUUACUUGUGCAGUAAUGCCCAAAAUACCCACUAAAAUGCAACCUAUCAAUCUCCCCCACACCUGAACUAUGCUUGCCCUCAAGCAUAAUUAACUCAGAAGUACAAUCAAGAUACGAAGCUAAUCACAGCAGUUCAUACCAGAAACGGUAUCCCAAAUUUCCCAAUAACCUCAUCGAAAUCAGAAUAUACCAAAUUAACAAUACUCACAGUUCAAAGUGCACUCAUUCACUCCAAAGUGUAUAUGAAAUGUAUUGGCUCUCAAAUCAACACAAUAGAAUGACACUACCAUAAACUUGCUCAUAUAUCAUAUCUCCACCACUUGCUCAUGAAUUUAAAUGCAGCAAUCAAGGGGCUUUGCAAGGUUGUAAUGGGGUUAGGGUGAGAAGGUAGGGUUAAAAGGAGUCAAAAGGGUGCAAAAGUGUAAAGAAAGUGCCCAGAAAUUCAUUACAUAGAUUCUUGCACAUUUGAAAUUUAAAGGCAUCUCAACCACCACACAAGUGAAUCUUUUUCCCUUUUUUUUUUUUUUUUCGAGAGCUCCGAACCAGCACCAUGAUUUACUUGCUGGUUUCCUGCACUCUUUCUUCUUUUCACAUCCCCUUUUUUUCUGUUUUCUUUUUCUUUCUUUUUUUUUCAUAAAUGGGUGUAAUGCCUCCCGAAUAAUACACCAAAAUUCUGUAUAACGAAAUCAGAGCACUUCUUCACACGAGGUUCAAAUAGGAAGUCUAAAAAGAGGUUUUUCGGCUAAAAACUAGGGUCUCAAGCGAAGAAUAGGAUGUAAAGCUCAACUUGGCUCCCUAAUGGUAAAUAAUCCAAGGGUUGGUCUUAAGAAAGUCCAAAAAUGGCUCAUUCCUAGGUGCCCUAUCAUUUCAAUGCAUUAAAUUCAUUUAAAUGUGAUCUUGACAUGCAUAACCGAGCAAGUUCUAGAAUGACAAAUCAUGUGCACUAACCACUCAAAAAUCGAAAAAUUAGGCUAAAAAAUCGCACGAGUGGAUCAAAUUUAUGUCAAGUUCAGCAUAUUCAUCAAUCAAUUCGUCAUCAAGAAAAAUAGAACACCCCAUGGCAUGAACGUGCUACGUACACUCGUAUCUCGAUUGCAUUCAUCACAGUUUAAAGAAAGUAACUACUAAGGCAAGGGAAAAAUUUAAUCAGAUAACUCAAAACACAACCAAAGCAUAGUUAAACCCUCCCCCACACCUAAACCUUACAUUGCCCUCAAUGUAAGCAAAAUAAGACCAAAUCAGAGGUAUUGGGGCAACGACACUUCCCUCAAAACGGAGGAGGGCAGAAAGGAAUCAUGACUGCGGAAGAAAAGGCGGGCGGAAGCCCACGUGAUGGAGAUACUGUGCUAUAUUCUGGGCCAUCCCGCCCAUUUGACGCUCCAUCCGAUCCAUACGAGUGUCCAUGUGCUGCAUCUGGAACCGGAGGGCCGCUAGCUGGCUAUCGACGAAGGACGAUGGUGGAGGUGCCGAAGAGGAUGGUCCGGGGGCAUCCGUGGACGGGCCGCCAGCCGCCGGGGCAGUAGAUUUGGAAGCGCUGCGCCUCGGAGGAACAGAGAUUGGCCCCGAGGGGGCAAACUGGAAAACGCCAUUAACCUGUCGCACAAGACCCAUUUUCUCCAAACAAACCAUAUCAAGGGGCUCCAUAAUACAAGCACGAUGCAAGUUAUGAUCAUUCAAGUCCAAAACCCCAAGAUUUACAGCUAACUGAGUGAUAAAGGAUCCUAAGAUUAAUGGCUUAUUUUUCUUACUUAGCACAGUUCGGAGGUGGAGGGAAAACCAGCUACCCAAAUUGACCCUAGUCCGAGUGACCAUGCACCAAAUGAAAAAGAACUCGGGCUUGGUCAGAGUGCCGGAGCUAUCCUUCCUACCUGAGAAACUAUACGCCAUGAAUCUAUGUAAAUAACGAUAGGCGGCGCUCUUAAGAUAAGAAGCCUUAGACUGACUGGGGUCAUAGCAUUUCUGGUCAACUGACAAACCACUCCAAUAACCGAGGUAAUGAGAAAAAAAUGGCUCUAUAUAUUCGCACGCACUGUGCAUAUACUCCUCACUCUGGGAGUAAGGAAUAUCAAUAAACCCAAGAGUCAAAUUAAACUCAGUGAUGGAUUGGUUGAAUUCUCUACCCAUUAAUCGAAACCUCACUACCCCAGGAGUGGUAACUGAGAAUUCAUCAGCAAUAUUAAAUUCAAAGGUAGCAUAGAAUUCCCACGUGAGCUCAGUAAAAGCCGGUUGAUUGAUAGAAGCAUAGCGGGCCCAACCUACAUUAGUCAAGUGCUGUGUGACCUCAUCCCUCAGGUUUAGCAAAUCAAGUGUAGGGCCAUGGAUGUAUUUACAAGGAAUUAUCUUCCUUGUACACGCCGAAACAUACCGUUCCUUGUCGGCAGCCCGGGUGAAGGUCAAAUUACCGCCAAAAUGGGCCGGAGAGGAGAUAUGAACCUCCCUAUUCCGUCCAAGGCGGGUACGGGGCCCUCCAGGCCCAGUCGAUGGGGCAGGUCCCUCUAAGGGGACCGUAGGCUGAGGAGAUGAAGUGGAAGGCUUGUUCUUGCCUUUGGUUUUCGGUUUAGUCAUUGGGGAUUGGAAAAGAGGGCAAAGUCAAGGUGAAAUUGGGUAAAAUGAAGCGGUAACUAGUCAACAAAGCAAGGGGUCCCCAAAUACAGCUCCAAGCACCAACAAUUGAACAAAUAGCAACCAAACAGCCCAAAAAUCAAUUAAGUAGAUAAACAAUAAAAAUUUGCACCCAAAAACUAAUUAGACACGUGAACAGCAGACUACUCCCCAAACACUACCAAAUCAACCCAAAAAUCACUUAAUUAGACUAACGCAGCAAAAUUCCCCCAAAAACUAAUUAAAGAAACAACCAGAGUGAAAACUUUCCCCCAAUAUCUCUGAUUGAGCACCAAAUUUCACAAAUAGACCACAAUCAACCACAGAUAUAUCACAGCACCCAAAAUCAAACAAGAAAUUGAAAAUCUGGCCUCAGCUAAGAAAGUAAAAAUCUGUCCUCUUCUAAACAAAAAUUAAGAAUCUGGCCUCAGCUAAGUGACAGUAAAUGAAAGAGGGAUAUCACCGGAGAAAAAUUUUUCAGCUCAUUUGACAGGUUGAGGAGGGACGCGCGUGGCCUGCGAUGGUGGUCUUGGAGAUCGCGCGCAAUGACUGCAGGAGCUGCGCGCUUGGCUGCUAGAGACGCGCGACUGCAGGCGGGCGGCGGACUGGGCAGCGGACUGGAGCAGGAUGGGCGCGGAGGAGGCUGUUGGCGGCGCGCAGGUGGAGCAGGAGGAGAGCAGCGCUCGGCCUGGGUUGCGCGCGCGCUGUCUGGGCUGUGCGCGCGCGGUCUGCGCGGUGGGCUGACGGCGCGCGGGCUGGUCGACUGUGCAGAGGAUGCGCGAGGCGAGGCUGCGCGGCGAGGCUGGGUUGGAGCUCGCGCGCAGCUGGCGGUGGCGACGCGCUGGGCGGCAGGCGCGCGGUCUGUGCUGCGCUGGGCUGUGGCAGGCGGGCGAUCUGCGCUGCGCGCACACGGUCUGCGCGCACGCUACUGCGGCUGGUGGGUCUGGUGGUCCGCGCGGUGGCGAGCAGCGCGGCGAGCUGGGCCGCAGCUUGGUGGACAGCGGCAGCAGCGCGAUGGGCGGCGGCGUGCGGUCAGCGACGGCGGACCAAGCAAGAGAAGGAAAAGAAGAAAAGAAAAAAGAAAGAAAAGGGAAGAAAAGAAGAAGUAGGGCUACGGAAGUUUUUUUUUUUUUUUUUUUUUGCUUGAACGUGACACCUGGCGUGGGCACGCUCAACUGCUCUGAAUCCGCAGAACCUGGCGAGAAUUCCUUUUCCUCAGAACUUGAUCGAAAAUUUCCUUCGUCAGACGUGACCACCUGGCGUGGGCACGUCUAACUACUAUGGAGUUCGCAGAACCUGAGCGAGAAUUCCUUUCCCUCAGGCGUGACCACCUGGCGUGGGCACGCCUAACCACUAAUCUCCUGCCACAAAACAUCAAACCAUCAAUUGACACUAAUACAUAACUAAAACUUCAAAAAUGCAUGAAAACUAAAACAAAGAGUCUUGGGUUGCCUCCCAAAUAGCGCCUUUCUUUAAUGUCUUUGGCUAGACAUGGCCAAAACCCUCAGGCAUGAUAAAGUGGAUCUUGGAGGUGUUCAACUUCUACUUCUUCAACAUAGAAACCCUCAUAAUAAGGUUUGAGACGAUGGCCAUUCACCACGAACUUUUUCUCCGUUUUUAAACUCUGGAUCUCCACUGCACCAUAAUGGAACACAUUAGAAACGACAAAUGGACCAAUCCAACGAGAACGCAACUUACCGGGGAAAAGUUUAAGCCUUGAGUGAUACAAGAGGACUUUUUGCCCCACUACAAAAGUUUUCCUAGAAAUCUGCUGAUCAUGAAAGAUUUUACUCUUUUCCUUAUAGAUCGUGGCGUUCUCAUACGCCUCAUUUCUUAUUUCCUCCAACUCUUGUAGCUGCAAUUUCCUUUGGACCCCUGCUUCAUCUAAUCCCAUGUUACACUGCUUCACUGCCCAAAACGCCUUGUGUUCGAACUCCACGGGGAGAUGGCAAGCCUUACCGAAAACAAGUCUAUAAGGAGACAUCCCAAUUGGCGUCUUAUACGCGGUUCUAUACGCCCAUAGUGCGUCUUCUAGCUUUAAACUCCAAUCCUUCCUAUCCGGGCGCACCAUCUUCUCCAAGAUCGACUUGAUUUCCCUGUUUGACACUUCGGCCUGACCGUUUGCCUGCGGGUGAUACGGUGUGGAUACCUUAUGUAGUACACCGUAUUUUCGAAACAGGGCCGUGAUAGUCUUGUUGCAGAAAUGUGUCCCUCUAUCGCUAACUACAGCUCUUGGCAUUCCAAAGCGGACAAAGAUAUUAGACUUUAAGAACUCUGCAACCACUCUAGAAUCAUUAGUACGGGUGGCUUUAGCUUCCACCCAUUUAGAGACAUAAUCUACAGCAAGUAAAAUGUACAGGAAACCAAAAGAUGAGGGAAAAGGACCCAUAAAAUCUAUCCCCCAAACAUCAAAAAUUUCAACAAACAACAUGGGGGUUUGAAACAUUUGGUCCCUACGAAAAAUAUUCCCUACCCUUUGACACCUAUCACAGGAUUUACAGAAUAAAUAAGCAUCUUUGAACAGGGUAGGCCAAUAAAAGCCACUCUCUAACACUUUGCGGGCUGUUCGCUUGGGCCCAAAAUGCCCUCCACAUGCAAAUGAAUGGCAAAAAUUUAAAAUGGAGUGAAAUUCACCUGCACUUACACACCUCCUAAGCACUUGAUCCGAACAUUGUCUCCACAGGUACGGGUCGUCCCAAAUGUAAUAUUUGGCAUCACUCUUCAACUUAUCUCUCUUAGCCUUCGGCCACCCUGCAGGCAGUUGAUUAGUCACUAAAAAGUUUACUAAAUCGGCAUACCAGGGUACAGACGUGUUCACAGCAAGUAGUUGUUCCUCUGGAAAUGCCUCCCUCAAUGGUGGCUCCUCCUUAUGAGCAAGUAGGCGGCUCAAGUGAUCAGCAACUAAAUUUUCUGCCCCACUUUUAUCUUUAAUCUCCAAGUUGAACUCCUGAAGGAGCAGGAUCCACCUGAUGAGCCUAGGUUUAGCAUCCUUCUUCGUCAUCAAGUAUCUCAAGGCUGCAUGAUCAGAGAAAACUGUUAUUUUUGCACCUAACAAAUAAGGUCUAAAUUUUUCUAAUGCAAAAACCACAGCUAGCAAUUCUUUCUCUGUUGUAGAGUAGUUGAGCUGAGCUCCAUUUAACGCUUUCGAUGCAUAAUAGAUUGCAUGUGCAGCUCUACCAAUCCGUUGCCCCAGCACCGCUCCCACUGCAUAGUCACUCGCGUCACACAUUAUCUCAAAUGGGAGACUCCAGUCUGGAGGUUGGAUAACAGGCGGUGAUGUCAAUGACUCCCGCAGCCUGUCAAAUGCCACCUUGCACUCUUCGGUGAAGUCAUAUGCUACAUCUUUUUGCAACAGUUUGAACAGGGGCGCUCCAAUUUUGGAGAAAUCUUUGAUGAAUCUCCUGUAGAACCCUGCAUGACCCAAAAAGGAGCGCACCUCCCGCACACUUGCGGGGUAAGGUAAAGCAGAAAUAAUAUCGACUUUUGCCUUGUCUACCUCUAUACCCCUGGCUGACACUACAUGCCCUAAAACAAUGCCCUGAUCUACCAUGAAAUGGCACUUUUCCCAAUUUAAAACUAAAUUCGCCUCAAUGCACCUCUUCAAAAUUAAAGCUAGAUUAUCCAGGCAUUCAUCAAAACUAUCUCCAUACACACUAAAAUCAUCCAUAAACACCUCAAUAAUCUUUUCUACAUAUUCAGAGAAUAUACUUACCAUACACCUCUGAAAAGUUGCUGGGGCGUUGCAGAGGCCGAAAGGCAUCCUCCGGUAGGCAAAUGUACCAAAGGGGCAGGUGAAGGUAGUUUUCUCCUGAUCCUCUGGUGCUAUUGCAAUCUGAAAAUAACCAGAGAAACCAUCAAGAAAACAAUAAUAGACACGGCCAGCUAACCUUUCUAUCAUCUGAUCAAUAAAAGGCAGAGGGAAGUGGUCCUUCUUUGUCACAGCAUUCAGACGCCGGUAGUCAAUGCAUUGGCGCCAUCCUGUGGGUUUCCUCACUGGGAUCAUCUCACCCUCUUGGUUCUCUUCAACUGUUACUCCCGCCUUUUUCGGGACUACUUGCACCGGGCUCACCCAGGGGCUAUCUGAGAUGGCAAAGAUGAUCCCCACUUCUAGGAGUUUAAGUAUCUCCUUCUUGACCACUUCCAUCAUUAGUGGGUUCAAUCUCCGUUGCCCUUGUCUAACCGGCUUUGCAUCAUCCUCAAGUCGGAUUCGAUGCAUGCAUAAGGAGGGGCUAAUUCCCUUGAUAUCUGCUACACUCCACCCAAUCGCCUCCUUAUGAUCUCGAAGGAGACGAAUUAGUCUGUCUUCUUGCCCUGGUGACAGAUGUGCAGAUAUGAUGACUGGUAGUGUCUCAUUGUCCCCGAGAAAAGCAUACUUCAAAUGCUCUGGGAGGGGCUUGAGCUCCAACUCAGGUGCCUGCACAAUAGAAGGCAACAAUUUUGUCUGAGUCUCUGGUACAAAAACAGAAGUAAGCUCAUACCUUGGAGAAAUUGGUGGGAGCGAAUGCAGUGCUCCAACAGCGUGGUACAGCUCAUCAUUUAUUUCUACAUCAAAAGUUGCCCCCAACUCAAGAUGUUUGGCCAAUGCCACUGCUAGUGCAUCAACCCCAUCCAAUUCAAAUAUUUCCUGUACAAGGGGCUCAACAACACUUAAAGCAUAAACAGAGUUAGUCUCAUCUGGGUACUUCAUCGCCUCAAAAAUAUUAAAAUUUACAAUUUCCCCAUCAAACUCCAUCGACAAGGUACCCUCAUUUACAUCUAUUUUCGUCCUAGCAGUGCUUAAAAAUGGCCUACCCAACAGAAUAGGAGACGGAUUUAGUGCUCUUUCAUCCCCCAUGUCUAGGACAUAGAAAUCCGCAGGGAAAACUAACUCAUUGACCUGUACCAAAACAUCUUCAACUAACCCUUCCGGGUAAGCAUUGGUACGGUCUGCAAGUUGGAUUAUGAUGCCUGUGGCUUUUAACGGGCCAAGAUUUAGAGAUGCAUAAAUUGUUUUAGGCAUAACAUUGAUUGACGCCCCCAAAUCCAACAUUGCUUUCCUAAUGGGAGUACCUCCUAUCUUGCAGGGAAUGGUGAACAUACCUGGAUCUCCACAUUUUGGUGGGAGCUUUCUCUGGAGCAUAGCUGACACGUUUUCUCCCACCGCCACUCGUUCAUCUCCCCUUAGCUUCCUCUUGUGGGUGCACAGGUCCUUCAAAAAUUUGGCAUAUUUCGGUAUCUGCUUGAUUGCAUCCAGUAGGGGGAUGUUAAUCUCUACUUUCCUGAACACAUCCAAGAGCUCUUUUUCCUUCUCUACCUUCUUUGUCUUCUCCAACCUGCAAGGAAAAGGGGGUAAGUUAGAGCUAAUAGUGAGUGGAGAGGUGGAGGUUACCUUAGGCUCCUCACGAACACGUCCUUCCUCCUCAAUUUCCUUUUCUAUCUCCUCCUCACUUUUGCUCUUUGAAUUUUUCACUUUAGGACCUUCUAGUUCCUUGCCACUCCUCAACGUCAUGGCACUCACAUUCUUGGGAUUCACCUCGGGCUGCGAUGGCAGUUUCCCAUAAACGUGGGACUCCAAGCGGUUAAUGGCAGUUGCCAGUUGGCUUAUUCGAGCGUCUUGGUCCUUCUUGUCCGAUUUGAUCUCCUGAUGCAGGCUUUUGAUUAGGUCCUCCAAGGAGCUUCCUGAAUUGGAGGAUGAGGGUUGAGAUUUUGGUUGCCAAGGCUGGUGGAAUCCUGGUGGACGAUUCUGGAAUGAGCCUUGUUGCCUGUUCCCAUAACUGAGGUUGGGAUGGUCUCUCCAACCGGGGUUGUAUGUGUUGGAAUAUGGGUCAUACUGCCUGCGGGGCGCGGGCACGCCUCCGGCCAUAUUUACCUGUUCCGCCCCGUCCUCUUGUAGAAUGGGACAGGAAUCCGUGCAGUGGUCCAUGCCAGUACAGAUUCCACACACCUUUGCUCGCGGGGUGUCUCUCAUGGCCAAUUGCCUGACAGCAGAUGUCAACUCUGACAGUUGCUGCUGGAUAGAUGACGUCUCUGCCUCAUUGACUCUACGGGUGGGAUUGCUCUCACGGAAACCGAACUGCUGAGAGUUCUCUGCCAUGGCUUCAAUUAGGUCCCAUGCCUCUCUAGGUGUCUUGUUCGCCAGGGCUCCUCCACUCGCAGCGUCAAUAAUACUCCUGUCAGUUGACUGGAGUCCCUCAUAGAAGUACUGGAUCAACAGUUGUUCACUAAUCUGAUGCUGUGGGCAUCUAGCGCACAACUUGGUGAACCUUUCCCAAAAAUCGUACAAUGACUCCCCGGAGUACUGCUUGAUGCUGCAAAUCUCCUUCCUCAAACUUGCAGCCCGGGAUGCGGGGAAAAAUUUCUCCAGGAAUUUCUUCUUCAAUUGUGCCCACGUGGUGAUACUACCUGCAGGUAGGUAGUAUAACCAAUCCUUCGCUGCGUCCUUGAGAGAGAAGGGGAAUGCUCUCAGUCUUAUUUGCUCCUCAGUGACCCCAGGAGGUUUCAUGCUAGAGCAAACUACUUCGAAUUCCUUGACAUGUUUGUGGGGUUCUUCACCAGAAAAACCAUGGAACGAAGGCAGGAGCUGAAUCAAUCCCGAUUUUAGCUCGAAAGAGGUAUUUUCAGCCAGAGUUGGGAACGUGAUGCACAAGGGCUGAUGAGUCAGGUCUGGGGUAGCCAGCUCCCUUAAUGUCUGGGUGUUGGCCAUGCUAAAUUCGUCUUCUGUUGACUCGUUUGCAGUGGAUAAAUGCCUUUCUUUUUGUCUCCUGGUCUCUUGCCUUCGCCUACGCGCUGCUUUCUCAACUUCAGGAUCGUAUACCAAGUCACCUGUGCGAGAAGAACGUGGCAUAAACUAGCAAAAAUGCCAAGGAAAAGAAAAAUAAAAUAAAACAAAAUAAAACUGAAUUCAAAAAGAAACAAAUAAUUCGAACGCCAGUCCCCGGCAACGGCGCCAAAAAUUGACAGGUGCCGAACCUGUGCAAUAAUAAUAAAUAAAUCCUAACUACCACCUGAAACAGUCAGUAAUCAAUUCGAGUACUGGAGCAGGGACUCUAGGUGUGCAAUGGGUUACUUGAUUCACCCUGUUCCCGAAGAGUUUGCUUAAUCCGAUAUACCUGAAUUAAUUAUUUAACUGAAUUUCCUAACUAGUAGACAGUGGUAAGCAGGGUCGUCUCCUCAGGGACUGGAGAGAUAUUUGUUUCUUUUCAAAUCAAGAUUAAUGGGGGGGGUUUUGGUAUCAAAAGCCAACUGAACAAAUUAAAUGCAGAAAAUAAUUAAUUAAAAGAAAUAACUAAGAGAAACUCUAGCCAAGGGUAUACUUCAGAAAUGGUUCAUGCACUGAUCAUUGAUGCUAAAAUAAUUCCAACCUUUAUUAAUAGAUUGGUUCUAGUUGUCUCGCACGCGCUAAACAACCAACCCUUCCUUAAUUUAUCGAUAGCUAAGGUACGACCGUUAGCUAUUUCUCUAACCCAAAAACAACCCUAGGUACGACCGUAGGAUUCAAUUUCUAGAUUGCAUUAGUAAUUAGAAAGGCCCAAUCCUGACUAACAAACACGCUACGAGGGUUCAUUCAAGCCAGAUCAAAUAUUCCCCUGACACAAAUCCAAUUGCGCCAGUUGCUACUGGAAUAGAAGUAACGAACAAUUACGGAUUCAAUCACCCCUAUAUAGCAAAAUAGCCUAUAUGAACAAUUAAUUAUUGCGCACUAAUCAAUCAUACAUACGGCUAUAACACUUAAAAACAGGAAAUAUAUAAAUAUUAAUAAAUGGAGGAAAUAGUUAAAAUAAAUUCGAUCUCACAGUAAUUUCUGAACCAAAUCGUCAGUUGUCCCCUUGACUAGAAUUGAAGAAUUAGCUCCUCAUAAUUGGAGUACAGGCCAUGCGGCAAAGCUGGAGGAAGCCGUCAAUUCUUUAAUCUAGGCAAACGGAAGACUUGACCUUCGUACACUUCGGUCAACCGAAGAGAGAAAAGAGCGACAAUGGAUUACGAUUGCUUCAAUUUCCUUCGGUCAAAGCCAGAAUGAAAAGCAAUGACCAAAGUCCACGAUUGCGGCUCACUUUUACUUUCUCUCUUCUCUCACGCAAGAAAACAUACGAGAGAUUGGAAGAUUGCAAUUGUUUUUCACUUCUCAAUUUGGUCAAAGAACAAAUCAAUAGUUCAUAGAAUCCCCAAAGUCAACAAAAGUGGCUACUCCUUUCUCCCUACAAAGCUGCGGCUGUUUUGUCUCCUCCCAGAGCCAAAGAAGAACCAAAACAAAGAGAAAAAGAACUGUCUAACCUAAGCUGCGCGAGCGAGAUAAAUAAUAUCCCCGAAUAGCCAAAAAUUGUUACUUUCUUCAAAAAUUGCAGCCAGACUCCCUAGAAAUAUAUUAAAAUAAAAUCUAUUACAAUUAGGUUUCUUCAGCUUCUCAAACGGGCCCCACGUCCGAUGACUCUUCUAACAGUUGAAUUUAAGCACUUUUCAGCAACCAUUCCUGCAAUUAGCAUCAAAACAAAAUAUCAGUAGAAUCCACCCAAUUAACGAAAAUAUUUAGCCAAUUAAUUGUGCAGUAAUGCCCAAAAUACCCACUAAAAUGCAACCUAUCAUUACAUAAUUCAUUCUCAGUUAGUUUCUUAAUUACUGAAGUAACCAAGAAGUACUUGCUUCACGAGAUGAAGAUGUCGCUGUCCAUUUGUCAUUUCCUUGUUAACGUCUAGCCUUAGUUACCUUAGUAAUAAAGAAGAAUUUUCAUUAUGUAAAGUAAUGACAAGUGGUGAAAAAAAAAAAAGCAAAUUAUGAAGAUGCAUUUUCGAGGAAGCAGCCACCGGGCAUCUUAUUACGAAUACGCGACCAAGUUGAAAGUCACACUUUUAUUUAUUUAAUUUCUUUUGGAGUACAGUCACGCUUUUAUUUGUUUUAUGGUCAGAUAAUAGCUAAAACAUAUUAUAUAGUGGAGUACUAGUAACCGGAAUUUCUUAAAUUAACUAAAGGCCGUCAGCAUGAAAAAAAAAAAAGAAGACAAAAGGCCGUCAGCAUCACAAGCCAUUGACCAAAACUAGUAUCAUGUAGUUUUAAAACUCGGACCGUUAAUUGAACCGGUGAAGUGUUCGAAUCAAGAUUCAACCGAUUGGGACCGGUUUAACCCUGGUUCAACAAAUUUUUUAAAAAAUAAUUUAUAUAAAUAUAUAUAUAUAUUUAUGCACAAAAUAAGAUAUGCUAUGGACUAAUUUAAAACUUUAUAUGAUGAAAAGUUUUGCUAUUUUUGAAUAACUUGGAUUUUCAAAAAUAAAAUUUUAAAUUACAAGUUGAAACAAAUAAAUUUCAUCUCAAUUUCAAUUAUGUCUACCAAAAAAUAAUCUUAAAUCCAACCCAAAAAUACCACAAUAUUUUAAAAUUAUACAAAAUUCGCGUCUAUGAGAAUUUAGACAUUGUAAACUUAAAUUUUAAUUUACUUUUUUGGGAUUUAGAGAUUGCAAUUUAAAAAAAGAAAGUUUGGAGUUUGAAAGAAGUCAAGAGAAUCGAAAAUAAAAAUGCAAACUUGAUAAGAAAAAAAAAUGAGAUAAAAGUGAGUGGUUGUGGCAUUAAAUAAUUAGUUUUUAGGGUUAAAGAAAAAUAAUUCUUUUUUAACUUUUUUCAAUUUAAUGGACAAAAACAAAAUUAAAAGAUGGAAAAAAAACAUCAAUAAAUUAAACCUAAAGAGGUUUGAUUAAAAAGGGAGUGACAAAAGAAAAAAGGAGAGAGAGAGAGAGAGAGAGAGUUGAAAACUAAAAAGAAAGCGUCAUAAGAGAAUGAAAUUUUGUAAGAAAAAUGGAGAAAAGAAAUAUGGAUGUUUGCUUUAUAUAAAUAAGUUAUCAAAAAAGGCUAAUAAGAUGUGAUGGUGUAAUGGUUACUACAUUGCUUUUCUAUCAUAAAAGUCCUGAGUUCGAAUCGAAAACCACCGGUUUUGACUGAUUUUCUUUAGAUUUUUUAAAAUUUGUUUAAUUAUGUACUAACUAAUAUGACAAUUGUUUAUGAGAAUGAUUUAUACAUUAAGCGAGUGCUUUUCUUUUUUAUUUAAUUACAUAAACCAAAUUAUAGAUAUUGUUUCUAAGCAUGAUUUUUAAGUUAUGUUGAGGACAGUAAUGCUGAAAUGUUUAUUUUUAAAUUGAUAUGCUGAAAUUUUAAUGCUAUAGGGUCAAUAACUGAACCUACGCUAAUAGCUCGGUAGUGUCAAGAUCUACAGCGGUAACCUUCUUUGGACCCAAAUCAUCAUGGUAUUGGACCACAAUCUUCCUGCCACUGGGGGAAAGGAAAAAAAAAGCACAAAUCACAAAACACCAAUUUUCAUAGGACGUAAGAAGUAAUAAUUUUGACUCAAAAUUCUUUUCAUACACUGUUUGAUUGAAACUAUCAUUAAUACACUAAAUAGUCUAGAAGACGUGAUUAAAAUGAUUCGGUAAUUCUAACUUUCCUUCCAAGUUCAUAGACAGAGCACGCCUGUCGUUUGAAGAUUCAGAGUUGUGUACAUAGUUCCUAAUUUCUGCCGGCGCAAACACAGAUUAUUACGUAUACACGAAGGAAUUACCAACAAAUAGAGAAAAUUGGGACCAAACUUUUGUAAUUUGAAAACUUCGGGGACUAAAAUGCAGCAUCGUUUAUAAGGGACUCAAUAAGUAUAAAUUCCAAAUGUUAUGGACCCAUUGUGAUAUACAUAUCACACAUUUGCAUGUGGUAUCAAUCAUAUACAACUAAAGUUUGAAGGGUAAAGUUUUGUCUGUACAGUCACCAUUCAUCAGUACCUUAACACUCCCAUCAUGAGGUGGUUCAUUUCAAGAAUAGCAUUUCCCACAAGAAGGGAGUCAUUAUUGGGAUCAAAAUGCCAUCUCUUCUCGAUGCCCCGCCAACCGAGAAGAAACCAUAUUGCUGAUUGAAGAAGCGCAGAGCUUUCCCGAGGAGAGCUGACCUGAUCAGCUCGGGGUGUCGAUGGGAGAGCUGAUCCAAGACCUGCACAGCAGAGAAGAUGGGCUAACAGAGGGGCCCGAGGGUUGUCCCCAAGGGCACUCCGACGGCCAAGUUAGUUUUCCGGUGAGUAAAGUUCACGGGAAGUAGUAACAACCGGGAGUAAUUUGCCUAAAGUGAGCGUCCUUUGUACAGUGGAUGUGUGUUAUUAUUUAUACCUGCAAGGGAGUCCGACCUCCGCACGACGCGGGACUUGCCCAGUAUAGAUAGCAUCCCGCACUCAGGGGGAUUGCUCCCGAUCUCCUCGGGGCGGCCCUUCGCCUCCCCUGGGAGCCCUAGUCGGUGCGGCCCAGGACUGCCGCCAGGAGUCUGGGGGCCAAGGCCCAGCUCAGUCCCUCCUGAGCUGCCGCGUGUCCGGGCCUAGAACGGGGCCUCUGCACUAGCCCCCUAGAUUAGGUAGGGCUGUCAGGCAGACCUAAUCUAUCUCUGCCACGUGGGAGGCCAGAACCGCGCACUACCCUGCCGAGGUCACCUCUGGUACAGUGCUGUCACAGGGACGCUGUUCCCACGUCCUUUCAGCUGUCCCGCCUCUUCGGUUUUCGUGCCCGCAUGAAACGCGUUCACAUGGGGGUCGGUUCAAAUUCCCGACCGUUUCCCCCCAUCCCCCCCAUAAAUAGGGGUUACCAUAUUCCUGCCGAUUCUAUUUGCCAUUUUCCCCUCUCCUUGCGCCUUCCGUACUCCACUUUUUCCUCCGUGCACUCGAAUUCCCCUUUUCCAGCGGCUUCCGGCGUCCCUUUCCCAGAUUCCGGCGAGCCUUCCAUCCUUCUUCCACCUCGACGUUCUCAGUAAGUUCCCUUUUGUGGUUUCUCUUAGUGUCUCCUCCCCUCCCGGCUGCUCCUUGCUCUUUAUGUCGGGUUACUCCGGCAACGCCUCCCCAAUACCCCGAAUCAUUAUUUUGUCUUCGCCGUCCCCUUCAUCUUCAUCGCCAUCCUCUCCUCCUCCCCCUUCCUUAUCUCCUGCCUCUAGCCCAGACUCCCGAGCUCCCGAUUCGCUGGAGCCUUUACCCGAUAUGAGCUCCUCUUCUGGCCACUCCCCCUCAGCUCACUCCCCCACAGCCCGGGAACUGAUGGAGGCGGCCGAGCUCGACGCCCGCCUCGGACAGUCCUCCACUUCCUCCCCCAGGUCUCCCCAUGGCUCCCCUGGCGGGGCCCAGGAGGGAGUUGGGGAGGACAGGGGUUCUUCCGAGGGGACCCCUGACGAUCCGCAGGGGGUCGACCCCAAAUUCAACUUCGGCCACCCUGACCGAGAGGAGGCCACCCUCUCACCCGAGGCGGUGGCCGGCCUGGUCAGGGCCUACUCCAUUCCCCGGGUCUUCGAGCCGAGGGCUGCGGGGCCCGGCGAUCGAGCCUGCCGACCUCCCCCUGGGUUUGUGGCCAUAUAUAGGGAGCAGCUGAUCGGAGGUCUCCGCCUUCCGGUUACCCCAGCCCUGGCCGAGAUCCUGAGCUACUUCGGGCUCAGGAUCACCCAGGCUCACCCCAACUCGAUCAGGAUCAUCAUAGGAUUCCUGAUCUACUGCCAACUCUGCUCCAUUCCUUACUCCCUCUCCCUCUUCCGAGCUGCCUUUGUCCUCAAGGCAUCCUUCCCUGGGUGGUAUUACUUUUGCCGCCGGGCUGGGGACCAGAGCCGGGGGGACAAGGGCUGCCAGGAAUUGUUCUACAAAUUCCCCUCUUCCGUCAAAAACUGGAAGGGGGACUUUUUCUUUGUCAAGUCCAUCGGUCUUGAUGCCACCUUAUGGAGGGUCGGGCCGGUCAAGCUCGACCCCUCCCCCAAGGAUCUGGACGUUGAAACCCUCUUCCAGCUGCUGACCUCCAAGGUGAAGCUUACUGCCACCAAGUUCUCCAGCAAGCAGAUCUCGGCGGCCGGACUGAUGGGGACAUUGUCCGGGUCCUCUGGCGAGGUGGAGGCCUCCCCUGUCGACCUUGACGCCUGUAACGCUGGCCCUAACCCUGUAGCCAGUUGCAUUUGCAUACAUAUACAUAUAAGUAUAUCUACUUACCGUCCUGCUCUGACUGUUCCUGUGAUUCUUCUCGCAGUGAGGAAACUGUCCCAACUGCUGGGGGCGUCUACUGAAGAGGCCGUUUCCCCUCCUCGGCCCGGAACCGCCCAAGGGGCUUCUGCAGCCUCCCCGGGCUCAGGGGGCGGCGCAGCCCCCCAGACGGAGGCGUCGCAGCCAUCUCCCUCUAAGCAGGCCGCCAACAAGAAGAAAGCGGCGGGGCAGAAGAGGGGCAGGGCUGAGGAGCCCUCCCAGGUCGGGCAGAAGAGGCCCGCGCCGGUCGUUCCCCAGCCGCUCCCUCUGGUGUCAUCUGGGGGUCCAGUUCACGUGGGUGUUGGCUCCGCGGAGGAGCACGCCCUGGAGUCCCCUCCUCCGAGCUUGUGGCACUUCCGCCACAUCCUCCCCCAAAAGCCGGGCCAAGCCCCCACUAUGCACGAUCCCCGCCACUUCUGCCCCUCCUGGAAGCUCUCCAUCAAUGACCGGGUCCAAUUCCCGGGGGCAGCUCGGGAGCUGAUGGUGGGCUCUGUCCUUCCGCGGGACAGGAAGUGGAUGGAGCUUGCCGACCCAGCCGAGCUCCAGGAUAUGUACUUCUCCUCCCAGGCCCAAGUAAGUUUUUCAUCCCUGGGAUAAUUUUGCCUUCGUGCCUUGGUCAAGUAGCGUGACAUGCUGACCUGUCCCCUUUUUCCCUUCAGGCCAACGCUGCUGGCGCCGCCCUGGUGACUCGCUUCUCCGAGCUGUCGCCCGACCUGGAGAAGAUGCGGAAGAGGAACCUGGAGGCGGAGAAGAAGCUGUCCCAGGCCCUCAAGGAGGCGAGCUCCCUCAAGGCCAAACUGGACAAGGCCGAGAAGGAGCUAAACGCUGCACAGGUCCAGCUCGCCUCCACCAGGUCGGAGCUCGACCAGGAGAAGGCCGGUGUGGCCAAGUUGAGGGAGGAGCAUGCCAUUGAGCUCUCCGGCACCGUCAGCCGGGAGCGGAAGAAGGCUGUUCGGGAGUUCCUUACUUCCGAGCAGUUCGAGGAGGACAUUGCUCACCUCAACCUGCCCAUCCUCCAGGUUGGCUGCACCCGGGCCCUGGACCAGGUGAAGAAGCUCGACCCUCCCGGCCUCGAUUUGACGAAGUUCAAGGACUACAAUCCUUCGGCCGAGGCCAGGGUGGACUGGCUCUUCGACGGGUACCGCAAGGGGCACUCCCUGAAGGAGCUGGCGGGCCGGUCUGACACUGGGGCGGAGCUGGAGGAGGUCCCCUUGGAGGAGGUCGGGUCUCCUGGCCGAGCUGCCGGGAAGGAACCGGUGGCCUAGGGCGGCGGCCACCCCAGGAGCCCUUUCUGUCUUCUUAUAAGGAUGUGACCAUGCUCCAGUUGAAGAUGCUCUUGGAGGUCCAUCUAAGAUGGAAGGGCUCCCCCACUCCCGAGCUCCUGGAUAGCCUCCGCCAUACGCCUCUCAACAUGCCUAAGAUGUACUUUCAGCUCUUGCUCCGGACGAGGAAAUCUCUCUCCAUACGCCCCUCACCAUGUUUAAGGUGUACCCUCAGUUCCUAUCCAGGUCGGGCUACCAGCAGGUAGAACAGACAUCGAAGGGGGCUGCCCACUCGGGAAUCUCGCGAUAGAUAGGUAGAGUACCUUGUAAUAGAUAGGCGGCUCAGAGACUCUGUAAGCCCUGUAAUAGAUAGGCUUCGAAUGCAUGUAUAAAACUUGAGGAUUAUUCUGCAUUUCUUGAAUGCACCAAUUCUGUCGAUCCGACCUCCUUGGCCGAACAGACCUCCUGGGUCGAACACUUCACACUGUAAAUCUUAAGUGCGUUCAUGCCGACCUCCCGGGUCGAACACUUCACCCUUCAAACAUUAAGUGCGUUCGUGCCGACCUCCUGGGUCGAGCACUUCACCCUUUGAACAUUAAGUGCGUUCGUGCCGACCUCCUGGGUCGAGCACUUCACCCUUCAAACAUUAAGUGCGUUCGUGCCGACCUCCUGGGUCGAACACUUCACACUUGAUCAUUAAGUGCGUUCGUGCAGACCUCCUGGGUCGAACACUUCACACUUGAACCUUAAGUGCGCUCGUGCAGACCUCCUGGGUCGAGCACUUCACCCUUUGAACAUUAAGUGCGUUCGUGCCGACCUCCUGGGUCGAACACUUCACACUUGAUCAUUAAGUGCGUUCGUGCCGACCUCCUGAGUCGAACACUUCACACUCUAAACAUUAAGUGCGCUCGUGCCGACCUCCUGGGUCGAGCACUUCACACUUGAUCAUUAAGUGCGUUCGUGCCGACCUCCUGGGUCGAGCACUUCACCCUUUGAACAUUAAGUGCGUUCGUGCCGACCUCCUGGGUCGAGCACUUCACCCUUUGAACAUUAAGUGCGUUCGUGCCGACCUCGUGGGUCGAACACUUCACACUCUAAACAUUAAGUGCGCUCGUGCCGACCUCGUGGGUCGAGCACUAAACACUUCGUUACCCCUAGCCCCCCACUAGGAUAUUGAGCGAGGGAAUGCUGAAUGUGCUAGUGUAAGGUGCAGAUGUGAAAAUUGUAAAGUGAAAUAAUUACAAGUAAAAGUGGAAUUGUGAAUUCAGGCCUUUAUUGACUGGAAAAACAAGAUUUCUGAUUCCAGAGUACAUACUCGGAUUUCUAGGCUACCCUAUACUACAAAUAAUCGCAGAUUGGAGAAGUGCCAAGCACGGGGUACCUCGGAUCCAUCCAUGCUGGCGAGCCUGCAGGACCCAGCUCGACUCACCUCAAUGACCUUGUAGGGGCCUUCCCAGUUAGGGUCAAGUUUGUUGGAGCUGUGAGCUCGGCUGAUCGAGUUCUUUCUUAGGACGAGGUCCCCGGGUUGGUACUGUACCGUCCUCACUUUGGCGUUGUGAUAGCGGGCGAGCUGGCUUUUGUACUUAGCCAUUCGAACAGCUGCUUCCUCACGCCUGGCUUCGAGCAUGUCUAGGCUACACCGAAGCUCUUCCUCGUUGGAGGUUGCCACGAAGUUCUGGGUUCUGGGUGAGGGGAGCCCGACCUCCGCUGGCACCACCGCCUCUACUCCGUAAGUUAGGGAGAACGGGGUCUCUUGGGUAGCCGUCCGGGGCGUAGUACGGUAAGCCCAGAGGACGCUGGGGAGCUCAUCCAGCCAGCUCGAUUGGGCGGACUCCAGUCUAGUCUUCAACCCUUGCAGAACAGUUCGGUUAGCGUUCUCAACCUGGCCAUUGGCUUGGGGAUGACCAACCGACGUGAAGUGUUGGUUGAUUCCGAGCUCAGCGCACCAGCUCCGGAAAGGGUUCUCGGCGAACUGGCGGCCGUUGUCGGAUACCAGGACAUGCGGAAUCCCGAACCGGCAGACUAUACUCUUCCAGAAGAAUCUCCGAAUUACCUUCCCCGAGAUAGAGACCAGGGGCUCCGCCUCCACCCACUUUGUAAAGUAGUCAAUGGCCACCACGAGGUGCUCAUAUCUCCCCGGGGCUCGGGGGAAGGGACCCAGGAGGUCUAUCCCCCAUUGAGCGAAGGGCCAAGGACUGUGGAUGGGAAUCAUCUCCUGAGCUGGCUGAUGACGCAGCGAGGCGUGUACCUGGCAAGCCCGGCAUUUCUGGACAAGAUCUGUUGCGUCUCGGAAGACAGAGGGCCAGUAGUAGCCCAGAAGGAGGCACUUUUUGGCUAGCACCCGAGAUCCCACGUGUGCCGCACAUAUUCCUUCAUGGACUUCGCGCAGGACGUAAUCCCCUUCUUCGGGAGUCACGCACUUUAACCAGGGGGACAAAUACGACCUCCUAUAGAGGGUACCCCCGGUGUAGGCGUACUUAGCAGCCCGGAGCUGGAUUCGGCGUGCCUCGGCUUUGUUUUCGGGGAGGGCACCCGAGCUGAGGAAGUCUAUGAGAGGCGUCAUCCAGGUAGCCGAGCUGUCUAUAGCCAGGACCUGAACCCGACCGAUACUUUUUUGUUUUACCACCUCUACCAAGACCUCCUUGCUCAGGUGGGCAAACGAGGAAGACGCCAACUUCGAGAGGGCGUCUGCCCGCUUGUUCUGGGACCUUGGCACCCGCUCUAUUUCAAAUAUUCUGAACAGGGCCGCCACCUCCCGUACCUUAGCCAGGUAUUCCUUCAUCACCUCGUCCUUGGCCUCGUACUCCCCGCGGACCUGGAGGACGACGAGCUGAGAGUCGCUCCGAUCUCUGAUUGCGGUGACGCCCAUCUGGUGGGCUAUCCGCAGUCCCGUCAGGAGGGCCUCAUAUUCUGCCUCGUUGUUGGACGCAGGGAAGUCGAACCUAAGCGCAUAGGUCAGUUCUUCCCCGGUGGGCGAGGUGAGCAGCAGGCCCGCUCCGCUCCCUUCCUUGCUCGAGGCGCCAUCCACGAAUAGCACCCACGGCUCCUCGGCCGGGGUGUCCGUGGGGGUCGGGGCUAACUCUGCCAAGUUUAAGUUAGCCCCCUCCGCAAGGAAGUCUGCCAAGGCCUGAGCCUUGAUGGCAGCGCGAGGCCGGUAGCUAAUAUCAUGCUCGGCCAGCUCGACGGCCCACUUGGUCAUCCGGCCCGAGACCUCGGGCUUGGUGAGUAUCUGCCGUAGGGGCUGGUCGGUCAGGACCACAACGCUGUGGGCCUGGAAAUAAGGGCGGAGCUUGCGAGCGGCAUGUACCAAGGCGAGAACCAGCUUCUCGGCGGGCGAGUAUCGAGUCUCUGGCCCCUGCAGGGCUCGGCUCACGUAAUACACCGGCCUCUGAGCCCCCCCAUCUUCCCGCACCAAGACCGCACUGACGGCCUCGUUGCAAGCGGACAGGUAUAGAAAUAGGGUCUCCCCUGGCUCUGGUGCGGUCAGAGCUGGUAGCUCGGCCAAGUAGGCCUUUAGGUCGGUGAAGGCCUUUUGGCACUCCUCAGUCCAGUGGAAGUCCUUCGGCGCUUUUAGUACCCGGAAGAAGGGCAGCCCCCGAACCGCGGAGCGCGAGAGGAACCUGUUCAGGGCGGCCAUCCUUCCUGUUAGCCGUUGGACUUCCUUCACGCUCCUCGGGGGGGCCAUAUCCACGAUGGCCUGGAGCUUAUCCGGGUUGGCCCGGAUUCCGUCUCGUGACACCAGGAAACCAAGGAACCUCCCCGACCUCACCCCGAAGGUGCAUUUCUUCGGAUUUAAGCGCAUCCGGCUCUCCAGUAGGAUGUCCAAGAUCUCCCUCAGGUCGGGUGCGAGCCGUUGGUCCGUCCGGCUUUUGACGAUCAUGUCGUCCACGUAGACCUCCAUGUUCCUGCCGAUCUGGCCUCGGAAUAGCUUGUUGACCAGGCGCUGGUAAGUGGCCCCCGCGUUCUUGAGUCCGAAUGGCAUGGUUCUGUAGCAGUAGGUCCCUUCUUCAGUGAUGAAGGAGGUCUUAUCCCGGUCCUCCUCGGCCAUCUCUAUCUGGUGGUAUCCCUUAAAAGCAUCCAGGAAGCAUAAAACGUCAAAACCCACGGUAGAGUCUACUAACCUGUCGAUUCUAGGCAAGGGAAAGCAGUCCUUCGGGCAGGCUUUGUUGAGGUCCGUGAAGUCUACGCACAUCCUCCAGGUCUGGUCCUCCUUCUUGACUAGGACCGGAUUGGCCAACCAGGUCGGGUAGUAAACCUCCAAGAUGAUUUUGGACUCCAGCAGCUUGCCGACCUCCUCCUUGAUCACCUCGUUCCUCUCAGGAGCGAAACUCCUCUUCUUCUGCUUCACCGGCUUGAAGUGGGGGUCGACGUCAAGGUUGUGGACUGCCAGGUCCGUUGGAAUCCCGGGCAUGUCAUCCACCGACCAAGCGAAGACCUGGGAGUACUCCCUUAGCAGAGCCUUCAAGUCCUCCUUCUCCUUGGCGGGUAACAAGGCUCCAAUGCGGAGAACCUGGUUGGGUCGAUCCUCCUUUAGAGGGAACUCCUCAACCUCAUCCUGGGUUCCCAGGGGCUGGACCUCAUCCCCCGGAAUGUAGGGCUCCAAGCUGGUUGUGUGGGCGACCACCUUUUCCUGCCCCCGGAGCGUGGCCAGGUAACAAGCCCUGGCUACCUCCGGGUCGCCGUGCACCUCGGCUAUCCCUCCCGGGGUAGGGAACUUGACGCUGAGAUGGUAAGUGGAGGAAACAGCCCGGAGGGCGUUCAAAGCAGGCCUCCCCAGGAACACAUUGUACGGGGACGGCUGCCUGACCACCACGAAAUUGACGGGAACAGUCCGGCAUUUGGGAGCCUGUCCUACCGUGACCAUCAGGGUGAUCAUCCCUUCCGAGCUGAUGGGUGGUCCUGCAAAUCCCACCAGAGGUGUCCGGACCGGGGUGAGCUGGUCAUCCCUUAAUCCGAGCUCCUUGAACACCCUGUAAAACAUGAUGUCGACCGCACUACCCUGGUCGACGUAUACCUUCUUCACCCGAUAGUUGUUGGUGACAAUGUCUAUCACGAUGGCCUCAUGGUUCCCAGAAGCCAGGGGGACCGCAUCCCUUGGCCCGAAGGUGAUCUCCUCUUCCAUGCGCAAGCGCUUCAAGGAAUCGUCGCCUUCGGGGGGUGGUCGCUUGUUCUUCCGAGCUGCAUGGCUGUCCCCCCCUGUGGGACCUCCGGCAAUGGUGUUUAUCACACCCGCCAGGUUCUGGGUGUCCGGGUCGGGAGAGUGGCCCCGAGGAGCGUCCCGCCGCUCUGAGCGGUCCCGACGCCGUCCCUCGUGCCUGUCCCCGUGGUGGUGGCGCCCGGGCUCCUGACCUGGUCGGCGCACGAACCGCCCUAAAAGGCCGCGCUGGAUUAGGUCCUCUAUCUCCUUGCGCAGGGCCCAACAUCCCUCCGUGUCGUGUCCCACGUCGCGGUGAAAGGCGCAGUACCUGUCCUGGUUCCUUUUGUUUCGGGGCGUCCCCAUUUUUGGCGGCCGAUCUCCUAGUCCUUCCGCCUCCAUAACGGCCAAGAUCUGAGCUCUGGGCCGUGUUAGAGGGGUGUAGGUCUUCUCGGGGAGUGGCAGCAGAGUAGGGGCCUUCUCCUUCGAGAGCCGGUCGAAGACGUUUUUCUUGGACGGGGCGUCCUUGUUCUCGGGGGGGUUUGUCCGACCUCUCCGAUCCCCAAGCUCCCGAUCUGACUCCUUCUUCAGACGGCCUGCCUCCUCCGCAUUAGCAGCCUCGUGCGCCCUGCGAAGGAGCUCUUCCAGGUGCACGGGAGGCUUCUUGGCCAGGUCGUAGAAGAACUCCUCUACCCUGAGCCCGUUCGUGAAGGCAGCCAUCACCACUUUCUCAUCCCUGUCUCUAACCUGCAAACUCUCCGCAUUGAAGCGGGUCAUGAAGUUCUUCAGUGACUCGUCGGGCCUUUGCCUGAUGGACAUCAGGUGGGUUGCGUUCCUCGCGUAGACCUUCGAGGACACGAACUGGGCUGCAAACUGCCGAGCCAGCUCGGGAAAGCUCCGUAUAGACCCCGGUUUCGACCCCUGGAACCAGAGCCGCGCCUUCCCCUUUAGGAACAUGGGGAAAGUCUUGCAGCGGACCUCAUCCGCGGCGGUUUGCAGGCGCAUAUGCGUCAAGAAGACCGAGAGGUGGUCCUCCGGGUCCGUAGAGGCAUCGUACAUCUCGAUGCUCGGAAUCUUAAACCUCCGGGGUAGGGGGUAGUCCUCUAUCUCCCGGGUAAAAGGCGAGGUUGCAUAGUUGUCCUCGUAUGGCCGGGGCCUCAAGAUCUGCUCGAGCUCAUCCCGAGCAGGGUCCAGAUAAAGGGGGUCGCGGGGCCGGCUCUUGACAGACCGAGCCCGGGAACGCUCGGACCCAUUCCGGGCGGGCUUCCUCGGAGAGGGGUCUCUGGGAUGGCUCCCCGCGGACCUGUCGCGGGAAUACCUCUCGCUGUCUCCGACCACCGAGGCUCGGGGGCGGGGAGGAGUCCGGGGGCGCUUCCUCCUAGGGGGUUGGUCUCGCGACUCAUCUUCCGAAGGGUCAGGGGGUAACUCCUUCUCCUUUCCCUUGGCCUUGGAGGUCUGCGCACCCCCAACCCCCUCUCCCUCCUUCGCCUGCCGGAUUAUAUCUUCCAGCAUAGGAAGAUUGUCUGUCACAAACUGGAGCAUCUGCUGCCUACGUUCCCCUGAAAGGGCUGAGCCCCCGGCUCCCCGGGAUGCCUCAGCCUCCUUUCGUUGGGAUUCUUCACCGCCCCCGUGGUCGGUGCUGCCCACCGCUCGCUUGGAUCGCGUCUUGGCCAUCAACACAAUCUUACUUACCUUACGUUCCCACAGACGGCGCCAACUGAAGAAGCACGGAACUUCCCCUAGGAGAGCUGACCUGAUCAGCUCGGGGUGUCGAUGGGAGAGCUGAUCCAAGACCUGCACAGCAGAGAAGAUGGGCUAACAGAGGGGCCCGAGGGUUGUCCCCAAGGGCACUACGACGGCCAAGUUAGUUUUCCGGUGAGUAAAGUUCACGGGAAGUAGUAACAACCGGGAGUAAUUUGCCUAAAGUGAGCGUCCUUUGUACAGUGGAUGUGUGUUAUUAUUUAUACCUGCAAGGGAGUCCGACCUCCGCACGACGCGGGACUUGCCCAGUAUAGAUAGCAUCCCGCACUCAGGGGGAUUGCUCCCGAUCUCCUCGGGGCGGCCCUUCGCCCCCCCUGGGAGCCCUAGUCGGUGCGGCCCAGGACUGCCGCCAGGAGUCUGGGGGCCAAGGCCCAGCUCAGUCCCUCCUGGGCUGCCGCGUGUCCGGGCCUAGAACGGGGCCUCUGCACUGAUGGUUCUGCAGGAACUACCAAACCAGCGCUGUUUGGCUGCAAAUGUGCAUCGAAAGGGUAUAAUGAACAUUUCAUGAACAGGCAGAGUAAUGGCCAUGUCUAUUCUUUUCCAAGUUCUGGCAUUGCUGGUUCAAGAAGGUAUGUAUGUAAACUUUUUUCUUUCUUUCUUUCUUUCUUCAUUACUCUUUAGAAUACGUAGUAUUGACUAUUUUUUUUUUUUGGUUGUCCAUGACUAUUGGAGGGAAGUUUUUUCAAUUUCUUUUUAUUAUAGACAAGGGGAAAGACAAAUAGGGAAAACGAAAAAGAAAACAAAAAUAACUAGAAAGGACAGAAGAAACUCCUUUGCUAAAACUAAAUGAGUGUCAAUUUUAGGCUGUGAUUAUAGGAAUAUUUUUUGAAAAGGGUCCAUGAGGAGAAAUUCUUGAAUUAAAGGGUUUCAACUUCGAGAUACAUGUAAUUGUAGAUAGGAAAAUAUACAUUUUCUUUUUUGGUAUGCUCAAAAGUAAAUUUUGCCCUAGAAUUAGUAGAGAGGACCUUUCAUCAUUUCACGGUAAUGACAUAGCAAAAAUUUCAUGUUUUGAGUUUUGUUCUUGUUUAUGAUAUUAUGGAAUAGUUCUAAAAGUUCCAAAAAUUCAUCACAAUAACGUGAAGUUAUUGAAACUCUAGCUAAUUAUGUUUUUCUAGUCCAAAAGCAAUAAUUAUUCGUGAAUUUGAUAAUACUCUUAUUCAUAUUGCUUUCUUUUUAUUGUCAUUGGCAGGAAAUUAGGACUUUCUCUAUUUAUAGGGGAGUAAUUCAUUUACUUCAACGUACUAGUAUAAUUUGAAAUUAUUACUCAAAAGCAGAAUUGCUAAUUAAACAGCCCCAGACAAGCUGAUCUUAAAUAUGAAAAACAAACAAUAAAGUUUAUUUUUCCAUUAAAUUUAAAAUUUUUAUUUUAUGAUAAUUUUAUGCUCUUUUGUAAUGGCUAAAAAUUCUUCUAAACAUGUCCCUGCAGCAUUCAUUUGAGUGUCAAUCAGAAAACUGCAUAUAUGGACAUAGAAAUUAUCUCCAAGGAAGAAAUCAAGCCAGCAUCUCCAACUCCCCCUGAGUUGAGAACCUUUAGAUUUUCAAUCUUGGAUCAGCUUACUCGUGACUCUUAUACAAAUAUAUUGUUCUUUUUCUUCCCAAGAAAACAACGAGGCACUUAUCUCAACGAUGUUAUUUCCCAAAGAAGUCGAUGUCUGAAGGAAUCACUAUCAAAAACCUUAGUACCCUUCUAUCCACUAGCAGGAAAAAUCAAAGAUAAUUUGCAUAUUGCGUGUAAUGAUGAUGGAGUUUACUACGUCGAAACUCAAACCAAUAUUGGACUGUUAGAUUUUCUGAGGAAGCCUGAAAAUGAGUUCAUGAAUCAGCUAUGCCCAUUUCAUCCAGAUUCCACGGAAUUAUUGUCAAAAAGUUAUCCUAUCAUGGUUCAAGUAAACAUUUUUUACUGUAGUGGUAUUGCCAUUUGCUUGAGUGCUUCCCACAAGAUUUUUGAUGGUCUCUCAGUUUCUACAUUUAUGCAAUCUUGGGCAGCUACAGCACGCGAAUCAACGGUACAAAUAAAUCCCAGUUUUAUUUCAUCUUCCUUAUUUCCUCCUAUUUUGGAUAUGUACCAAGAUUCACCUCCUGUGGUCUCCAAACCACAAAAGAACGAGCCUAAAUAUGCUACAAGCAGAUUUGUGUUCGAUAGCUCGGCCUUGGCUGCUCUUAAAUCCAAGGCAGCUAUAUCAACAUCUUCCGCGAAACCAAGUUCAGCCAAGGCUGUUAUGGGACUUCUAUGGAAAUCUGCCAUAGCAGCUUGGAAAGUGAGGUCUGUUUUGUUUAUCCCGGUGAAUCUGAGGACAAAAGUUUCGCCCCCUUUAUCACCUCAUUCACUAGGAAAUAUCGUCUGGUUGGCUCGUGCUAAAUGUUGUGACAAUCCUAAGCUAGAGCUGGAAUUGCUGAUAAACAAGAUCUCAAAUUCCAUUGGUACAAUGAACGCUGAUUUUGUCGAAUCUAUAAAUGGUGAGAAUGGGAUUCAGAAGCUGAUGGGAGCCUUAAAAGAUUUCCAUGAAGUGUUCUAUGACCCUAAUAGUAUGGCUGAAUGUAUCUAUAUCAGCAGCAUCCGCAAGACUGGUUUUUAUGAGGCUGAUUUUGGAUGGGGAAAGCCCAUAUGGACAUGCAUUGCGCGUGGAAACAGAGAUUUACACGGAUUGGGAAAUAUUGCUCAUCUGAUCGAAACAAAAUCUGGUGAUGGGAUUGAAGCAUUGGUGACCAUGAAAGAAGAGUACAUGUGACAGGUUGUCGAAACAUGUGCAAUAAUAAAUACCUGCUCAAACUAAAAGUAGUUUCUGUAGAUAGUGGUGAGCAGGGUCGAAUCCACAGGGACUGGGAGUAAUUAUUUCUUUUCAAGCUCACAGUGACAAGGGGAGUGUUUUUAUGCAGAAGGUGACAAUCAAAGAAAUUCAACUAAAAUAAAAAGCUACUAAAAAUUAAAUAACAAAUUACUAAAAUCAAAUGAGUGAUAAUUAAGGAUCUAGCCAAGGAAUAACUUCAGCAAAGGUGCACCUAAUUGAUCAUCGAUAAGCAAAGGCAAUUCCAAUUAUUUACUAAUAAAUAGGUUAUAAUUGCCAAACAAGCGAUGACAGUCAACCCCUCCUUACUGUGUCGGUGAUCAAGGUACGCCCGUUAAUCACUGCUCUAAUUGAGAAAUAAUCCUAGGUACGCCCGUAGAAUUUAAUUCCUCAAUUGCGUUACGUAUUAGAGGAGCCCUAUUCUAACCAAAUAACGCACUACCAGGGUUAUUUUAGAUUAGCCCGCGUAUUCCCCUGACACAAACCCAAUCAUGCCAGUUAUCACUAUUUUGAGACAAUUAAACAAUUACGGAUUUAACACCUCAAUUGACAAUAGAUUAUUAAAUUAACUAAUUAUCCGGAUCCAAGACAAUCAAUUAAUUAAACAACCAUAAGCACUGCAAUCAGGGAAUAUGCAAAUAUCAAUAAAUAAGAGAAAAAGAUAAAAUUAAAUCGAUCUCACAAGUUUAGAUGACCCAAAGCAUCCGUUGUCCCUUGACUAGAGUGAGGGAUUUAGUUCAUAUUUGAUGAACUAAAUCCACAAGGAAUAAAAGCAAAAUCUACGGCCAUCGUUCUUGCUCGCGCUAAUUCAACUCGGCCGAAGGAAUAAGAAAAAGCUACUAUAAAGCUAACAAGAAAAGUCAACAAAAGCCACAUUGGCUGCUGAAAUCCGUGAGGCAACUACUACUAAGAAGCCCCAGAAAAGUCAAAGGAAACAAUUCCUUGAUAUUCCUGCCAUGUGCAGGAGCUCCUUGGUCAAAAGUCCAAAAGGAAAAGCAAAUCUCAUGCUAAGCUUCAGCUCCCUCCUGUGCGGCGGCCUCCUUCCGGAGAGGAAGAAGAAGACCCCUGCCUUCAGCCCUUCGUUGCUCCUUUUAAUGCUUUUGUUUUCGGCAAUUACUAAAAUGGGCAUAAGCUUGCCUUUGCCAACAAUGCCCCUGGGGUGAGCUCUGUGCCUUAGACUCCUUUUUUGUCAAAUUAGCACUUGUUAUCAUAUUUUCGUUCUACUCCCUGGAAUAUAUGCAAAACACUAAAAAUGAGUAGAAUCCAGCAAUUAAUCCACAUCGGGUCAGGUAAUAGGGAAAAUUAAUAAUAAAAUAAAUGAUAAAAUUACACCCUAUCAACAUGGCUGCACUGGAGAAAAAUCAGGAGCUUCUCCAUUAUGCUUCUUUAAAUCCUAGCCCUCUUGAUUCAAGCUAGCUUUUCAGCAUGUUUUGUCUGGCUAUGUUUCAAAUCCUACAAAGCAAUUGUGAAGGUUGGAUUGUUAUCAAAAGAAAGUUGUAGGAACAGAAAACCAUGAAUUUGUGUAUUAUUCCCCAUUAGUUUUUUGACUUGCUUUUGAAAAGAAAAAAAUAACACCUGAUAUGAUUGGGAGUUUGGCAGACCCUGUUUGUGUAUAAACAAAGAAAAACUUUGGGGAACUUAAGGCCUUAGUUCUGAAUUAUGUGCCAUUAGUGUAGUGGCAGAUGGUUUUCUUAAAGAGAGUGGCUCAAGUCAUGUGGUUCCUGACCCCAAAAACAAUAACAAAUCUACCGUUGUACCUUUAUUUCUUGCUAUGGAGCACGUCCAUGACCCCAUGAUCAUGAUUUUUCUGGGGCUGAAAGUGGGGUAAAUUUAACGCCAUACGAGUCUGCGGUAGUUCCUAGAGAUAAUUUCAAAAACUUCUCUUGAAGUUUAUCACUUAGCACUCUUAGAUCGUGUUUGUAUUGUAACUUUUUGAAAUUUUUGUAAAAAAUAUACUGUAACAAUUUAAUAUAUAUAAGAUAAAAAGAUGUUUGAAAAAUGUGUUCAUUUAAACGUAAAAAUAUUUGGUGAAAAAUUCCUUUUCAAACAAGGCCUUAAAAUUGCUAUUCUUUGACUAAUUAAUGACAUGACAAAAUGUUCAACCACUUUCAUUUCUUUAUUCUUUAAGUGCGUGAGAAGAAAGCAUUGCCUCUAUAUUAAUGCCUUAAUUAAUCAAGCGAUUUCCACACGAAUAAUUGACUAAAAAAUUGGUCUGAAGAUGUCAUUAGCCAUUUUCACUUCAUUAUUUCAUUUUUUAAUUACUGUUUAUUCGAUGGAAUCAAGAAGAUGCUUUCUGGUGUAAAUAAUAACAAAUUCAAAAAUAAAGAGACGCAAAAUAUGCAAUUUGGAGGAAGUUGUUGCGGGGCGUCCAAUCUGUCCACUCGCAUUGGUAGAUGGACACUUUAUUAUUCUUUGUUCUUGGCCUCUAUAGCGGUUUUCACAUUUGCCACCGAUCCAGAAUAAGUCCCUACUUUUUCUCUUUUUUUUUUUGGUUUUUGGCCUUGAAAAAAAUGAGCAAUCAGACAACCACUUUCAUUUCUUUAUUUUUAAAUUGCACGAGAAGAUGCCUCAAGCAAAGGUGAAGGAGAGUGAAGGAGAGCACUUUUCUACUGUUAAUAAUUUUAUUCCUAGAGAGCAUAAAAAACAAGUACUGCCUACCACUAGUCACUGACUCACUGCUACUUGAGGACUUGGGAGGCGGAGUUGGGAAGUUUAGCGGGGCUGACAUGGAAGUGAUGGAAACUUGAAGCUUGGAGUGCAAAAGAAAGAAAAAAAAAUUUCUUAUUAGUUUGGUGGGAGUAUAAAAGAGUUAGUGGGAAAUCAUAUUUUACCGAAUUGAAAUUUUCUCGAUCUUUUCUUCUUCCAUUUCUCCUAGCAAAAACCCUUGCUUUGUUCGUUCUUUUCAUUCUCUCACAAACGAUCACACUUGGGAAAUCAAGCUCAAGUAAGUGCUUCGCAAGAGCUAGGAGAUCUUCCUUUAUCUCUUAAUCAAGGUAACUCUUGCAUCUUUUGAGUUUUCUUUAUUUGAUUUGAUUUGGUUUUGGGUUUAGAUGUAAGCUAAGCUGCUAAGCUUUGGUUUCAAGUGGACCUUUUGGUAGAGGUCCUUAUAUAUGUGGUAGUUUGGGUGAUUCUGGUUAUUUCUUGAUUGAGGGAUAAUUGUUGAGGUUUUGGAUGUUUGGUGAUGUUUUGGGUUGGUUUGUACUUUGGUUAUAUGUUGUGUUGGGUUGGAAAUAGGUAGAAGAGGUGAAAAAGGAAGUAAAGCAAAACUAAUUAGUAUCACAUUUGCCAUCGAUCUAAAACAAGCCAUAGAUGAGAACUAGCAAUUUUUUAAUGUGGUACUAUUAAAUGGAAUUUUUUGAAUUACUAAAAUUGCAGCAAAGUGAAGGGAAUUCAAGCACAAAGUAUCCAAUAGCUGUGGUACAACAAAUACAUGAUUAAGUGGAUAAUUAACUAAUAGUCGAUGAGAAGCUAUCCUCACUUCUUUAUUUUUCAUCUUAAUUACUAUAAUAAUAAUAACAAUUAAGAAGUGGCUUGAUGAGAUGAAAAUGUCACAGCCCAUAUCUUUGUUUCUUGUCUCAGUUCCUUCAGUAAUCAAGAAGAUGAUUUGUAAAUGCAAAUAAUAAAGUAACAAUAAGAAAACAAUUAUAAAAAAAAAGAAAAAAAAAGCAAGAAGAUGCAAUUUGGAGGAAGUAGCCACUGUGCUUUGAUCAUGACAGAUGCUUAUCAAGAUGACUCAUUUAAACUAGAAAAUUUGGAAAAAAAAAAAGUAAAGUGAUACAUCAUCUUUUUUUUUUUUUUUUGGGUGUUGCUUUCUUGACCAAGAAAUAUCUAAACCAUAUCUUACCUACUUAAUUAAAAAAAUAAAAAAAUAAUAAAAAAAACGUGUCCUACCUGCAAUUAUACUUUAUCACCUUUUUUUUUAAUGCCGACUAACAAUUAAAUUAGUGAUAAGAUAUCAUCAACAAUUAUUCAGCCACUUUCAUUUCUUUAUUUCUUAUCCACUCGAGAAGAUGCUUCAAGCAUAAAAGAAGAAAUUCCUCUAAAUUAUUGCCUUAAUCAAGAGGGUGCAUCUGCGAGGAAAAAGUCUUACAUCAUCCAAUUCCAAAGAUGAGUUUGCUUUUUUCAACGUCAUUGAAUCUACGAAUGAAAAAGGAACCAAACCAUAAUACUUCUUAAUCACCUCAAAACGCAAUCUUUCUACUAUUAAAGUUUUUAGCCCUACCCACUACUAGAUAGAAUAUUUAAACAACUAAAGGCCGCCAGCAUUGACAACACCAAUUAGUCUCACAACAAGUAUUAUGUAGAAUUUUUAAAAAUCCGACAAAGAAAAAUUAGUAGCAUUAGAUAGAAUUUUCUAAAUAACCAUUCUAUCUAAACGAUUAAUGACCAACACCAUUCAUCUCCCUCCUAUGGAGGAAAAAGAGUAGAGAGAAGGUUAAGGGUAGAGACAGGGGAUAGAGAAGGUUGAGGGAAAAGAGAAAACAGCCCCUACGGCGACAAGAUUUUCGUGGAUCUGUAUAUUUACUAGUCCCGAUCAUAGCUUUUUUAGACUUCUCCUCUCUCCUGAAUUAAAAUAGAAUAGAUUAUACAAAUGUGUCGUUGCUGACAAAAAAAAAAAAAAAAAAAACCACCCCAGCGUGGUCAAUCGUAAAACCAAGAAAAUGCCAAGCAACUUCCAUUGCAAAAGCAUCCAAAUUUCCCAUUGAAUUGAAGCACUGCACGGCACCACACUCCGGUUAGCUUCUAAAUCAUAAACUCUUCCAAUUUCAGGUUAACUAAUCUAAGAAAAAGGAAUAACGCAUAACAUUUAUCAGCAAAUGGUCCAACUAUUAACCAAAAUCUCAACAUUAAGUCCAUAAUUCGGCAAGCUGACUUUUAUUACACACUAACACAACCUUCACUUUUUUCACAUUUUUUUUUUUUUUACUUUUCUCUCUUUUUUUUUUGAUUCUUUUUUUUCCAAUAGUAACAAAAGACUUAGUCGCUAGCCAUUUGAGCCUUUUGACGCGAACUCCAACAUUGGCCAUAUGAAGGAGCCCGGUUACUCAGCUUCUAUCGCCACGUGACCACGCACUCAUAGUAAUUACUAUUUUUUGACGCGAGAAUCGGCACUUUUGGUGAACAUCCCCGGUUACUCGGUAGUAAAUACUAGCGGAGUACAGUCAAGUUUAUGCAUAGCUAAAAAUCACAAAAACUCAAUAUAACUCAAGAACCAAAAGAAAACUUGCAUCAGCUAGCCUCAUUUUCAAACAUGGAGAACUAAAGUUAAUAACCGAACCAAUUCACAUGAAAAUGCCAAUAAUCAUUCCCUAUGCCUAGGAAAGUUAACCAAAAAUUAUAAGAGUAAAACAAUCAUCGAUAUUCACCAAAGAGAUGUUUUUGGAUUCAACCACAUUAACUUGAUACCCUUUUAUUAUUAAAAUUGGCAAAAGUAGAAAUAGAGACAACAAUCCAACAUCAAAUUUUGGCAUGCACUUACGAGCCAAUCACUAAAAAGAAGAAAAAGAAAAUGAAUGAAAGACACUAGCACCAUAACUGCUCCCCCCACACCUAAAUCCUACAUUGUCCUCAAUGAAGGUAAUAAAGUAAUGAAAGCGAAGAGAACAAUGAAACUUCCCUGUUGAACAGCUAAGGGAUAGGAGGGAACAGUGGAGGGAAGCCGAGUUCUGAGACAUCCUUACCACUUGGUGGGUGAUGUUCGUCAUUCGCUCAUCUACGUUGUGAACCUGUGCUUGUAAGUGGCGCCACUCACCAUUGACGCCAAUUAUCACCCCAAACAACAAAAGACAGAAUAUCCAACAAGAUAGCAAUCACAAAUGCACAUUCAUAGUCACUGGGGUACCCCAACUCAACAAUUAAAAGUAAACGCGGGCCACCCCGGCCCAAAUAUGGUCAGCAAAGCACAGUUGCACUCCAAAAUCAACAACUAGAAACUAUUAUCAACAACUGAAAACUAGCAAAGUCACGUCCAUAAGCAUAGGGACUACCUAAUUCAGUCAGUCAACAAGCAAACUUGGCCAUUCAUAAUCUCAACAAAUACAUUCUAAAAUUUCAACAAAUAUCUCCAGAAAUUUCAACAAAUGCUAUAGCAGAUCAAAGCAGUAGUAAAGCAAUAGCCCCAAGUAUGUACUAAUCCACCAGUUGGGGAACCCCGGCCGCUGAGGUCACAAACAAUGGUCCCAAAAUAGCAAUAUUAACCAAUCACCAGGAUGUCUUCCAUAAUUAAUAAAUGCUACCAAUCUCACAAGUAAAACAAGCGGCCAGAUAUUCCAAUUCAACAUGCAAAAGCAGAAUCAAAUCGCCCAAAUGUCAAUAGACAGUUGCAUUAUUUCAGCUCACCCAAAAUCCCAACAAAUGGCUCCAGUUGGCCAAUAAAAGUCGCAACUCAAAAUUAUUAAUUUCAAUGAUAACAGCUCAGGGAUUGGACAAUGAUCACUUGGUCAACUAAAUAGAAGUAUGCAAUUGAGGUCCAAUUACCUCACCAGUACCACUGGUGUAGUAAACUGUGGAAAAGAAAUCACACACUACCACUAGCCGGCCACCGAUAAACCAAAAUAACAACUAUCAAUGCCAACAAUUGAGAAUUUCAACAAUCAAAACACAGGCAGAGCUGCCGUCCUAAUUAGCAAAAGAAAAUUUCACAACACCAGCCCACCCAAUGUAGUCAAAUCGUAACAAGGGCCCCAAUAAUAUGGCAUACCAGUGACAGCAUUUCAGAAAUUGAACAAUUACAACCUAAUCACAAAACCUCAGCAGUUAACCAGGUGGCCAAUCGAACGAAAUGAAGAAAUUAGGGGAGGCAACUUCCAAUUACCUCCACCGUAGGUAGUAGCCAGACGAAAUGGGACAGUAGUGGGUGUCAGUUGUGCCGGAAUCGCGUGAGGGGUUGCGGCGGUGUCGAUGAAAACAGCGGCGGUCAACGGUGGAGCAGGAGCGAGCGGCGCGCUAUGGAGGUGAAGAUGGCGGUGGAGCGCGCAAGGUGGGCUGCGGCUGGCGACGGAGAGCCGCGCUCUGGUGGAGCGCUGGGUGAUGGGGGUUGCGGCGCAAGUGGGCGGCGGGCAACAGAGAGGGAGCAGGGGAGGAAGAAAGAAGAAAGAAGAAAGAAGAAGAAGAAAGAAAGAGAAAAAGAAAGAAAGAAAAGAAGGAAAAGAAAAAUUUUUUUUUUCUACGGAAAUCAAUUUUUUUUAAAAAUUUUUUUUUUUUGAAUUUUGGAAACGAAAGCUACGUUGAUAAGAAAAAUUUUCUUUGUUCUUUUUUUUUUUUUUUGAAUCCUUACAUUUCCCGCGAACGUGACGCGGGCACGUCAUGAGGGCAAGAGAGCUCUCAGAAGUUUCAGAAUUUCUGAUCGUGAGCUUCAUGCACGUCCCCACGCGGGCACGUCAAGAGGGCAGGAGAGCUCCCAGAAGUUUCAGAAAUUUCUGAUCGUGAGCUCCCUGCACAUCACCACGCGGGCGCGUCAUGACUGAAGGGCACCUAUAAAUCAGCAAAAACGAAAAUUAACACCCAAAAUCAGUCAAAUUCAAGGAAAUCAGAUUUAAACUAUGACACGAAACCAAUCAAGCAAUUAAAAGAAACAAUUGGGUUGCCUCCCAAUGAGCGCCUUUCUUUAAUGUCUUUGGCUAGACAUGCUAUGCUUGUUCACGGGGGAUAAAAUCUUGUGGCUCGUUUCAAUGCUUCAUCUUCAAUAUGAUCCUGGUAACCCUCAUAGAUGGAGUAAUCUUUGAACACACGAGUUACGGGCUUCCAUGGACUAGUAAAUGGCGCUAAACAAGUCAACAAUGAUCUGCAUUCUCCACUCACUCCUCCACCACACGCAUUCAUCGGUUCAAGAUAUUUUUCCAUUGCCACUCUUAACUUAUUCCUGUCAUGAAAUUUCAAAUUUUCUGGUAUAAUAAAAUCAAUUUCAGUAACAGGAAUUGAAGAAGAGGAAUUAGGAAAAUAUUGAUUAAGGAGUGGAGAAGAUGUCACCGCAUUUGGAAAUUGUUCACUGGAUUCAUUCACUUGAAUACUUUGAUGUUGGAGUCUCAUGUCUUCCGCUUCAACUUCCUUUUCAACUGUAUCUUUGGAUCCUCCUUCUUGAGACUCUUGCAGUUCCAUAUCACUUGUCAGGAUAAUUGCACUCUCACCUUUCUUAGAGUCAUUGAUGGUCUGUGAGGGCAAGUCUGACAUGAAUAACGAUUGUUGAGACUCUUGCAGCUGAAAACUCAUUGACCCCUCUUCAUAAUUAACGUUAGAGUUAUCCCACCAUCCUUGAUCAUACCGGUUUGAAUAAGGGUCAUACCACGUUUGAGAUCGAGGUGAAGAAUCUCCAAAUUUUUUUUUUGAGAUAGUCACUCAGGUAGUCUUGAUAUUCGGGGCACAUACCGGUUGAAUGAUCCCUGGCAUAACAAAUUUCACAGGUUGCAGCAGCCAUUCUUUCUCUAACAGAGUUUAGUGCCUCUGCAUAUGCAGACCUCACAAAAAAACUAGCCUCAUUGCCUUCCCCGGAAAUAAAAUCCAGUAUAUCACCAAAAUACGGAGUGUAAGAAGCCAUAAACUAAAUAAAAAAAUGUAAACAAGAUGAAUUGAAAAAGAAACAAAUAACUAGCGCCAGUCCCCGGCAACGGCGCCAAGAAUUGACAGGUUGUCGAAACAUGUGCAAUAAUAAAUACCUGCUCAAACUAAAAGUAGUUUCUGUAGAUAGUGGUGAGCAGGGUCGAAUCCACAAGGACUAGGAGUAAUUAUUUCUUUUCAAGCUCACAGUGACAAGGGGGUGUUUUAUAUCAGGAGUGACAAUUUAAACAAAUCAACUAAAAGUAAAAUAAUAAAAAUAAAAUAGCCAACUAGAAAUUAAAUAACAAAUUACUAAAAUCAAAUGAGUGAUAAUUAAGGAUCUAGCCAAGGAAUAACUUCAGCAAAGGUGCACCUAAUUGAUCAUCGAUAAGCAAAGGCAAUUCCAAUUAUUUACUAAUAAAUAGGUUAUAACUGCCAAACAAGCGAUGACAGUCAACCCCUCCUUACUGUGUCGGUGAUCAAGGUACGCCCGUUAAUCACUGCUCUAAUUGAGAAAUAAUCCUAGGUACGCCCGUAGAAUUUAAUUCCUCAAUUGCCUUACGUAUUAGAGGAGCCCUAUUCUAACCAAAUAACGCACUACCAGGGUUAUUUUAGAUUAGCCCGCGUAUUCUCCUGACACAAACCCAAUCAUGCCAGUUAUCACUAUUUUGAGACAAUUAAACAAUUACGGAUUUAACACCUCAAUUGACAAUAGAUUAUUAAAUUAACUAAUUAUCCGGAUCCAAGACAAUCAAUUAAUUAAACAACCAUAAGCACUGCAAUCAGGGAAUAUGCAAAUAUCAAUAAAUAAGAGAAAAAGAUAAAAUUAAAUCGAUCUCACAAGUUUAGAUGACCCAAAGCAUCCGUUGUCCCUUGACUAGAGUGAGGGAUUUAGUUCAUAUUUGAUGAACUAAAUCCACAAGGAAUAAAAGCAAAAUCUACGGCCAUCGUUCUUGCUCGCGCUAAUUCAACUCGGCCGAAGGAAUAAGAAAAAGCUACUAUAAAGCUAACAAGAAAAGUCAACAAAAGCCACAUUGGCUGCUGAAAUCCGUGAGGCAACUACUACUAAGAAGCCCAAGAAAAGUCAAAGGAAACAAUUCCUUGAUAUUCCUGCCAUGUGCAGGAGCUCCUUGGUCAAAAGUCCAAAAGGAAAAGCAAAUCUCAUGCUAAGCUUCAGCUCCCUCCUGUGCGGCGGCCUCCUUCCGGAGAGGAAGAAGAAGACCCCUGCCUUCAGCCCUUCGUUGCUCCUUUUAAUGCUUUUGUUUUCGGCAAUUACUAAAAUGGGCAUAAGCUUGCCUUUGCCAACAAUGCCCCUGGGGUGAGCUCUGUGCCUUAGACUCCUUUUUUGUCAAAUUAGCACUUGUUAUCAUAUUUUCGUUCUACUCCCUGGAAUAUAUGCAAAACACUAAAAAUGAGUAGAAUCCAGCAAUUAAUCCACAUCGGGUCAGGUAAUAGGGAAAAUUAAUAAUAAAAUAAAUGAUAAAAUUACACCCUAUCAACAUGGCUGCACUGGAGAAAAAUCAGGAGCUUCUCCAUUAUGCUUCUUUAAAUCCUAGCCCUCUUGAUUCAAGCUAGCUUUUCAGCAUGUUUUGUCUGGCUAUGUUUCAAAUCCUACAAAGCAAUUGUGAAGGUUGGAUUGUUAUCAAAAGAAAGUUGUAGGAACAGAAAACCAUGAAUUUGUGUAUUAUUCCCCAUUAGUUUUUUGACUUGCUUUUGAAAAGAAAAAAAUAACACCUGAUAUGAUUGGGAGUUUGGCAGACCCUGUUUGUGUAUAAACAAAGAAAAACUUUGGGGAACUUAAGGCCUUAGUUCUGAAUUAUGUGCCAUUAGUGUAGUGGCAGAUGGUUUUCUUAAAGAGAGUGGCUCAAGUCAUGUGGUUCCUGACCCCAAAAACAAUAACAAAUCUACCGUUGUACCUUUAUUUCUUGCUAUGGAGCACGUCCAUGACCCCAUGAUCAUGAUUUUUCUGGGGCUGAAAGUGGGGUAAAUUUAACGCCAUACGAGUCUGCGGUAGUUCCUAGAGAUAAUUUCAAAAACUUCUCUUGAAGUUUAUCACUUAGCACUCUUAGAUCGUGUUUGUAUUGUAACUUUUUGAAAUUUUUGUAAAAAAUAUACUGUAACAAUUUAAUAUAUAUAAGAUAAAAAGAUGUUUGAAAAAUGUGUUCAUUUAAACGUAAAAAUAUUUGGUGAAAAAUUCCUUUUCAAACAAGGCCUUAAAAUUGCUAUAGUCCCGAUCAUAGCUUUUUUAGACUUCUCCUCUCUCCUGAAUUAAAAUAGAAUAGAUUAUACAAAUGUGUCGUUGCUGACAAAAAAAAAAAAAAAAAAAACCACCCCAGCGUGGUCAAUCGUAAAACCAAGAAAAUGCCAAGCAACUUCCAUUGCAAAAGCAUCCAAAUUUCCCAUUGAAUUGAAGCACUGCACGGCACCACACUCCGGUUAGCUUCUAAAUCAUAAACUCUUCCAAUUUCAGGUUAACUAAUCUAAGAAAAAGGAAUAACGCAUAACAUUUAUCAGCAAAUGGUCCAACUAUUAACCAAAAUCUCAACAUUAAGUCCAUAAUUCGGCAAGCUGACUUUUAUUACACACUAACACAACCUUCACUUUUUUCACAUUUUUUUUUUUUUUACUUUUCUCUCUUUUUUUUUUGAUUCUUUUUUUUUCAAUAGUAACAAAAGACUUAGUCGCUAGCCAUUUGAGCCUUUUGACGCGAACUCCAACAUUGGCCAUAUGAAGGAGCCCGGUUACUCAGCUUCUAUCGCCACGUGACCACGCACUCAUAGUAAUUACUAUUUUUUGACGCGAGAAUCGGCACUUUUGGUGAAGAUCCCCGGUUACUCGGUAGUAAAUACUAGCGGAGUACAGUCAAGUUUAUGCAUAGCUAAAAAUCACAAAAACUCAAUAUAACUCAAGAACCAAAAGAAAACUUGCAUCAGCUAGCCUCAUUUUCAAACAUGGAGAACUAAAGUUAAUAACCGAACCAAUUCACAUGAAAAUGCCAAUAAUCAUUCCCUAUGCCUAGGAAAGUUAACCAAAAAUUAUAAGAGUAAAACAAUCAUCGAUAUUCACCAAAGAGAUGUUUUUGGAUUCAACCACAUUAACUUGAUACCCUUUUAUUAUUAAAAUUGGCAAAAGUAGAAAUAGAGACAACAAUCCAACAUCAAAUUUUGGCAUGCACUUACGAGCCAAUCACUAAAAAGAAGAAAAAGAAAAUGAAUGAAAGACACUAGCACCAUAACUGCUCCCCCCACACCUAAAUCCUACAUUGUCCUCAAUGAAGGUAAUAAAGUAAUGAAAGCGAAGAGAACAAUGAAACUUCCCUGUUGAACAGCUAAGGGAUAGGAGGGAACAGUGGAGGGAAGCCGAGUUCUGAGACAUCCUUACCACUUGGUGGGUGAUGUUCGUCAUUCGCUCAUCUACGUUGUGAACCUGUGCUUGUAAGUGGCGCCACUCACCAUUGACGCCAAUUAUCACCCCAAACAACAAAAGACAGAAUAUCCAACAAGAUAGCAAUCACAAAUGCACAUUCAUAGUCACUGGGGUACCCCAACUCAACAAUUAAAAGUAAACGCGGGCCACCCCGGCCCAAAUAUGGUCAGCAAAGCACAGUUGCACUCCAAAAUCAACAACUAGAAACUAUUAUCAACAACUGAAAACUAGCAAAGUCACGUCCAUAAGCAUAGGGACUACCUAAUUCAGUCAGUCAACAAGCAAACUUGGCCAUUCAUAAUCUCAACAAAUACAUUCUAAAAUUUCAACAAAUAUCUCCAGAAAUUUCAACAAAUGCUAUAGCAGAUCAAAGCAGUAGUAAAGCAAUAGCCCCAAGUAUGUACUAAUCCACCAGUUGGGGAACCCCGGCCGCUGAGGUCACAAACAAUGGUCCCAAAAUAGCAAUAUUAACCAAUCACCAGGAUGUCUUCCAUAAUUAAUAAAUGCUACCAAUCUCACAAGUAAAACAAGCGGCCAGAUAUUCCAAUUCAACAUGCAAAAGCAGAAUCAAAUCGCCCAAAUGUCAAUAGACAGUUGCAUUAUUUCAGCUCACCCAAAAUCCCAACAAAUGGCUCCAGUUGGCCAAUAAAAGUCGCAACUCAAAAUUAUUAAUUUCAAUGAUAACAGCUCAGGGAUUGGACAAUGAUCACUUGGUCAACUAAAUAGAAGUAUGCAAUUGAGGUCCAAUUACCUCACCAGUACCACUGGUGUAGUAAACUGUGGAAAAGAAAUCACACACUACCACUAGCCGGCCACCGAUAAACCAAAAUAACAACUAUCAAUGCCAACAAUUGAGAAUUUCAACAAUCAAAACACAGGCAGAGCUGCCGUCCUAAUUAGCAAAAGAAAAUUUCACAACACCAGCCCACCCAAUGUAGUCAAAUCGUAACAAGGGCCCCAAUAAUAUGGCAUACCAGUGACAGCAUUUCAGAAAUUGAACAAUUACAACCUAAUCACAAAACCUCAGCAGUUAACCAGGUGGCCAAUCGAACGAAAUGAAGAAAUUAGGGGAGGCAACUUCCAAUUACCUCCACCGUAGGUAGUAGCCAGACGAAAUGGGACAGUAGUGGGUGUCAGUUGUGCCGGAAUCGCGUGAGGGGUUGCGGCGGUGUCGAUGAAAACAGCGGCGGUCAACGGUGGAGCAGGAGCGAGCGGCGCGCUAUGGAGGUGAAGAUGGCGGUGGAGCGCGCAAGGUGGGCUGCGGCUGGCGACGGAGAGCCGCGCUCUGGUGGAGCGCUGGGUGAUGGGGGUUGCGGCGCAAGUGGGCGGCGGGCAACAGAGAGGGAGCAGGGGAGGAAGAAAGAAGAAAGAAGAAAGAAGAAGAAGAAAGAAAGAGAAAAAGAAAGAAAGAAAAGAAGGAAAAGAAAAAUUUUUUUUUUCUACGGAAAUCAAUUUUUUUUAAAAAUUUUUUUUUUUGUUUGAAUUUUGGAAACGAAAGCUACGUUGAUAAGAAAAAUUUUCUUUGUUCUUUUUUUUUUUUUUUGAAUCCUUACAUUUCCCGCGAACGUGACGCGGGCACGUCAUGAGGGCAAGAGAGCUCUCAGAAGUUUCAGAAUUUCUGAUCGUGAGCUUCAUGCACGUCCCCACGCGGGCACGUCAAGAGGGCAGGAGAGCUCCCAGAAGUUUCAGAAAUUUCUGAUCGUGAGCUCCCUGCACAUCACCACGCGGGCGCGUCAUGACUGAAGGGCACCUAUAAAUCAGCAAAAACGAAAAUUAACACCCAAAAUCAGUCAAAUUCAAGGAAAUCAGAUUUAAACUAUGACACGAAACCAAUCAAGCAAUUAAAAGAAACAAUUGGGUUGCCUCCCAAUGAGCGCCUUUCUUUAAUGUCUUUGGCUAGACAUGCUAUGCUUGUUCACGGGGGAUAAAAUCUUGUGGCUCGUUUCAAUGCUUCAUCUUCAAUAUGAUCCUGGUAACCCUCAUAGAUGGAGUAAUCUUUGAACACACGAGUUACGGGCUUCCAUGGACUAGUAAAUGGCGCUAAACAAGUCAACAAUGAUCUGCAUUCUCCACUCACUCCUCCACCACACGCAUUCAUCGGUUCAAGAUAUUUUUCCAUUGCCACUCUUAACUUAUUCCUGUCAUGAAAUUUCAAAUUUUCUGGUAUAAUAAAAUCAAUUUCAGUAACAGGAAUUGAAGAAGAGGAAUUAGGAAAAUAUUGAUUAAGGAGUGGAGAAGAUGUCACCGCAUUUGGAAAUUGUUCACUGGAUUCAUUCACUUGAAUACUUUGAUGUUGGAGUCUCAUGUCUUCCGCUUCAACUUCCUUUUCAACUGUAUCUUUGGAUCCUCCUUCUUGAGACUCUUGCAGUUCCAUAUCACUUGUCAGGAUAAUUGCACUCUCACCUUUCUUAGAGUCAUUGAUGGUCUGUGAGGGCAAGUCUGACAUGAAUAACGAUUGUUGAGACUCUUGCAGCUGAAAACUCAUUGACCCCUCUUCAUAAUUAACGUUAGAGUUAUCCCACCAUCCUUGAUCAUACCGGUUUGAAUAAGGGUCAUACCACGUUUGAGAUCGAGGUGAAGAAUCUCCAAAUUUUUUUUUUGAGAUAGUCACUCAGGUAGUCUUGAUAUUCGGGGCACAUACCGGUUGAAUGAUCCCUGGCAUAACAAAUUUCACAGGUUGCAGCAGCCAUUCUUUCUCUAACAGAGUUUAGUGCCUCUGCAUAUGCAGACCUCACAAAAAAACUAGCCUCAUUGCCUUCCCCGGAAAUAAAAUCCAGUAUAUCACCAAAAUACGGAGUGUAAGAAGCCAUAAACUAAAUAAAAAAAUGUAAACAAGAUGAAUUGAAAAAGAAACAAAUAACUAGCGCCAGUCCCCGGCAACGGCGCCAAGAAUUGACAGGUUGUCGAAACAUGUGCAAUAAUAAAUACCUGCUCAAACUAAAAGUAGUUUCUGUAGAUAGUGGUGAGCAGGGUCGAAUCCACAAGGACUGGGAGUAAUUAUUUCUUUUCAAGCUCACAGUGACAAGGGGGUGUUUUAUAUCAGGAGUGACAAUUUAAACAAAUCAACUAAAAGUAAAAUAAUAAAAAUAAAAUAGCCAACUAGAAAUUAAAUAACAAAUUACUAAAAUCAAAUGAGUGAUAAUUAAGGAUCUAGCCAAGGAAUAACUUCAGCAAAGGUGCACCUAAUUGAUCAUCGAUAAGCAAAGGCAAUUCCAAUUAUUUACUAAUAAAUAGGUUAUAACUGCCAAACAAGCGAUGACAGUCAACCCCUCCUUACUGUGUCGGUGAUCAAGGUACGCCCGUUAAUCACUGCUCUAAUUGAGAAAUAAUCCUAGGUACGCCCGUAGAAUUUAAUUCCUCAAUUGCCUUACGUAUUAGAGGAGCCCUAUUCUAACCAAAUAACGCACUACCAGGGUUAUUUUAGAUUAGCCCGCGUAUUCUCCUGACACAAACCCAAUCAUGCCAGUUAUCACUAUUUUGAGACAAUUAAACAAUUACGGAUUUAACACCUCAAUUGACAAUAGAUUAUUAAAUUAACUAAUUAUCCGGAUCCAAGACAAUCAAUUAAUUAAACAACCAUAAGCACUGCAAUCAGGGAAUAUGCAAAUAUCAAUAAAUAAGAGAAAAAGAUAAAAUUAAAUCGAUCUCACAAGUUUAGAUGACCCAAAGCAUCCGUUGUCCCUUGACUAGAGUGAGGGAUUUAGUUCAUAUUUGAUGAACUAAAUCCACAAGGAAUAAAAGCAAAAUCUACGGCCAUCGUUCUUGCUCGCGCUAAUUCAACUCGGCCGAAGGAAUAAGAAAAAGCUACUAUAAAGCUAACAAGAAAAGUCAACAAAAGCCACAUUGGCUGCUGAAAUCCGUGAGGCAACUACUACUAAGAAGCCCAAGAAAAGUCAAAGGAAACAAUUCCUUGAUAUUCCUGCCAUGUGCAGGAGCUCCUUGGUCAAAAGUCCAAAAGGAAAAGCAAAUCUCAUGCUAAGCUUCAGCUCCCUCCUGUGCGGCGGCCUCCUUCCGGAGAGGAAGAAGAAGACCCCUGCCUUCAGCCCUUCGUUGCUCCUUUUAAUGCUUUUGUUUUCGGCAAUUACUAAAAUGGGCAUAAGCUUGCCUUUGCCAACAAUGCCCCUGGGGUGAGCUCUGUGCCUUAGACUCCUUUUUUGUCAAAUUAGCACUUGUUAUCAUAUUUUCGUUCUACUCCCUGGAAUAUAUGCAAAACACUAAAAAUGAGUAGAAUCCAGCAAUUAAUCCACAUCGGGUCAGGUAAUAGGGAAAAUUAAUAAUAAAAUAAAUGAUAAAAUUACACCCUAUCAACAUGGCUGCACUGGAGAAAAAUCAGGAGCUUCUCCAUUAUGCUUCUUUAAAUCCUAGCCCUCUUGAUUCAAGCUAGCUUUUCAGCAUGUUUUGUCUGGCUAUGUUUCAAAUCCUACAAAGCAAUUGUGAAGGUUGGAUUGUUAUCAAAAGAAAGUUGUAGGAACAGAAAACCAUGAAUUUGUGUAUUAUUCCCCAUUAGUUUUUUGACUUGCUUUUGAAAAGAAAAAAAUAACACCUGAUAUGAUUGGGAGUUUGGCAGACCCUGUUUGUGUAUAAACAAAGAAAAACUUUGGGGAACUUAAGGCCUUAGUUCUGAAUUAUGUGCCAUUAGUGUAGUGGCAGAUGGUUUUCUUAAAGAGAGUGGCUCAAGUCAUGUGGUUCCUGACCCCAAAAACAAUAACAAAUCUACCGUUGUACCUUUAUUUCUUGCUAUGGAGCACGUCCAUGACCCCAUGAUCAUGAUUUUUCUGGGGCUGAAAGUGGGGUAAAUUUAACGCCAUACGAGUCUGCGGUAGUUCCUAGAGAUAAUUUCAAAAACUUCUCUUGAAGUUUAUCACUUAGCACUCUUAGAUCGUGUUUGUAUUGUAACUUUUUGAAAUUUUUGUAAAAAAUAUACUGUAACAAUUUAAUAUAUAUAAGAUAAAAAGAUGUUUGAAAAAUGUGUUCAUUUAAACGUAAAAAUAUUUGGUGAAAAAUUCCUUUUCAAACAAGGCCUUAAAAUUGCUAUUCUUUGACUAAUUAAUGACAUGACAAAAUGUUCAACCACUUUCAUUUCUUUAUUCUUUAAGUGCGUGAGAAGAAAGCAUUGCCUCUAUAUUAAUGCCUUAAUUAAUCAAGCGAUUUCCACACGAAUAAUUGACUAAAAAAUUGGUCUGAAGAUGUCAUUAGCCAUUUUCACUUCAUUAUUUCAUUUUUUAAUUACUGUUUAUUCGAUGGAAUCAAGAAGAUGCUUUCUGGUGUAAAUAAUAACAAAUUCAAAAAUAAAGAGACGCAAAAUAUGCAAUUUGGAGGAAGUUGUUGCGGGGCGUCCAAUCUGUCCACUCGCAUUGGUAGAUGGACACUUUAUUAUUCUUUGUUCUUGGCCUCUAUAGCGGUUUUCACAUUUGCCACCGAUCCAGAAUAAGUCCCUACUUUUUCUCUUUUUUUUUUUGGUUUUUGGCCUUGAAAAAAAUGAGCAAUCAGACAACCACUUUCAUUUCUUUAUUUUUAAAUUGCACGAGAAGAUGCCUCAAGCAAAGGUGAAGGAGAGUGAAGGAGAGCACUUUUCUACUGUUAAUAAUUUUAUUCCUAGAGAGCAUAAAAAACAAGUACUGCCUACCACUAGUCACUGACUCACUGCUACUUGAGGACUUGGGAGGCGGAGUUGGGAAGUUUAGCGGGGCUGACAUGGAAGUGAUGGAAACUUGAAGCUUGGAGUGCAAAAGAAAGAAAAAAAAAUUUCUUAUUAGUUUGGUGGGAGUAUAAAAGAGUUAGUGGGAAAUCAUAUUUUACCGAAUUGAAAUUUUCUCGAUCUUUUCUUCUUCCAUUUCUCCUAGCAAAAACCCUUGCUUUGUUCGUUCUUUUCAUUCUCUCACAAACGAUCACACUUGGGAAAUCAAGCUCAAGUAAGUGCUUCGCAAGAGCUAGGAGAUCUUCCUUUAUCUCUUAAUCAAGGUAACUCUUGCAUCUUUUGAGUUUUCUUUAUUUGAUUUGAUUUGGUUUUGGGUUUAGAUGUAAGCUAAGCUGCUAAGCUUUGGUUUCAAGUGGACCUUUUGGUAGAGGUCCUUAUAUAUGUGGUAGUUUGGGUGAUUCUGGUUAUUUCUUGAUUGAGGGAUAAUUGUUGAGGUUUUGGAUGUUUGGUGAUGUUUUGGGUUGGUUUGUACUUUGGUUAUAUGUUGUGUUGGGUUGGAAAUAGGUAGAAGAGGUGAAAAAGGAAGUAAAGCAAAACUAAUUAGUAUCACAUUUGCCAUCGAUCUAAAACAAGCCAUAGAUGAGAACUAGCAAUUUUUUAAUGUGGUACUAUUAAAUGGAAUUUUUUGAAUUACUAAAAUUGCAGCAAAGUGAAGGGAAUUCAAGCACAAAGUAUCCAAUAGCUGUGGUACAACAAAUACAUGAUUAAGUGGAUAAUUAACUAAUAGUCGAUGAGAAGCUAUCCUCACUUCUUUAUUUUUCAUCUUAAUUACUAUAAUAAUAAUAACAAUUAAGAAGUGGCUUGAUGAGAUGAAAAUGUCACAGCCCAUAUCUUUGUUUCUUGUCUCAGUUCCUUCAGUAAUCAAGAAGAUGAUUUGUAAAUGCAAAUAAUAAAGUAACAAUAAGAAAACAAUUAUAAAAAAAAAGAAAAAAAAAGCAAGAAGAUGCAAUUUGGAGGAAGUAGCCACUGUGCUUUGAUCAUGACAGAUGCUUAUCAAGAUGACUCAUUUAAACUAGAAAAUUUGGAAAAAAAAAAAGUAAAGUGAUACAUCAUCUUUUUUUUUUUUUUUUGGGUGUUGCUUUCUUGACCAAGAAAUAUCUAAACCAUAUCUUACCUACUUAAUUAAAAAAAUAAAAAAAUAAUAAAAAAAACGUGUCCUACCUGCAAUUAUACUUUAUCACCUUUUUUUUUAAUGCCGACUAACAAUUAAAUUAGUGAUAAGAUAUCAUCAACAAUUAUUCAGCCACUUUCAUUUCUUUAUUUCUUAUCCACUCGAGAAGAUGCUUCAAGCAUAAAAGAAGAAAUUCCUCUAAAUUAUUGCCUUAAUCAAGAGGGUGCAUCUGCGAGGAAAAAGUCUUACAUCAUCCAAUUCCAAAGAUGAGUUUGCUUUUUUCAACGUCAUUGAAUCUACGAAUGAAAAAGGAACCAAACCAUAAUACUUCUUAAUCACCUCAAAACGCAAUCUUUCUACUAUUAAAGUUUUUAGCCCUACCCACUACUAGAUAGAAUAUUUAAACAACUAAAGGCCGCCAGCAUUGACAACACCAAUUAGUCUCACAACAAGUAUUAUGUAGAAUUUUUAAAAAUCCGACAAAGAAAAAUUAGUAGCAUUAGAUAGAAUUUUCUAAAUAACCAUUCUAUCUAAACGAUUAAUGACCAACACCAUUCAUCUCCCUCCUAUGGAGGAAAAAGAGUAGAGAGAAGGUUAAGGGUAGAGACAGGGGAUAGAGAAGGUUGAGGGAAAAGAGAAAACAGCCCCUACGGCGACAAGAUUUUCGUGGAUCUGUAUAUUUACUAGUCCCGAUCAUAGCUUUUUUAGACUUCUCCUCUCUCCUGAAUUAAAAUAGAAUAGAUUAUACAAAUGUGUCGUUGCUGACAAAAAAAAAAAAAAAAAAACCACCCCAGCGUGGUCAAUCGUAAAACCAAGAAAAUGCCAAGCAACUUCCAUUGCAAAAGCAUCCAAAUUUCCCAUUGAAUUGAAGCACUGCACGGCACCACACUGAUGGAGGCCCCCCCAGAUGUGAACAGCUGAUGGCCGCCUCCAUUGACCCAUCUUAGUAUUGUCACGGCCGACAAAUUUUGGUCUAAGCUUCCAUACAGCUAUUCUUUAUCAAAUCAUGCAACAUAUAUUUAUUUGUAAACCAAACAUGUAACAAAUAUUUGGAGAAAAUAGAGAAACUAUUUGUGCCCUCUUUUUGCUUCAAGAUCAGGUAACCUCCUCUUCUAUUCAUAGUUUCUUCAUAGUAUUAUGGAUACAUUGACAUGGGGUGUAUGAUGGAAUUCUUUUUUGUCAUAUGAAUUUUCAAAAUUCCUUAAUGAAUUAAAUUUAAAUUCUUUUUAGUUGUUUUCUUAAAUACUUGAUAGCUUAUUCUUGGUCUUCUACCUGAUUAUAUGAAUAAUUAUACGGCUUCAAUGAUUUUUCAAAAUUAUCCCUCUUCAAUAAUAGCUAACAAUCCUGGACGACAAGUAGGAUGAGAGAUUAUGAUGUAUGUAUUUCUAGGAAAGCUCGUUCAUUUGCAUUUGGAUCAAAGUUUAAACAAGUUGGAUAAUUGAUAAUUUAUUCCUGUUGAAUCAUCUUAGACAUCAAUUUAUGCUGCACUUAGCACUGAUCUUAAUCACUUACAACUAUGAUCAGAUUAUCACCAAUUAAUGGCUUGGCAUAAUCCCUCACAACAACUUUUGCCGGUUCUUUUAGAUGGAGCAAUAUACUCGUAAGGCAGCAUACGACAUGAAAUAAUUGAUUUUUUUUCCAACUAGUAUUGGGUGGCAAACUAUGAUCAUAUUUUAAGGACUUCGUAUAUAUAGUAAGGUGGUCUGAUUAGCAACAAAUUUAUUAUUUUAGUUACCUACUGACUCAUAAAAACAAAUACACUAACAUUAAUACUUUUAGAUGGAUAAGAAAUCACACGAAGAUUCAAAUCAGUUUCACAUUCAACAAAAACCAUGACAAUUAGUUGGUGUUCACGUUAUUUGCCAUGUAACAAAAUUGAUCAUGCCUCAAAGGAUUUGUUGUGCAAAUUAUGUAGAUCGACCCAUUGGGCAUCGAUCUAAACAAAGUCAGAAUGUGCAAAAGGAAAUAUUGAUGCAACUUAGAACAAAUUAGAUAUGUAGACUCGACAAACAUUGACAAAAAAUUCCUAAUUUUGGCCAACUUGGAUAUAUAAACUUAAACGGUGAUGUGAGGUGAAAAAUUAGGGGCAACAUGGUGGAACACUGGUCUAGGGGAAUUAUAUGACAAUUAUAGUUUAGAUGGAGUAAAUUAAUAAGCUCUUGACUUAAACCUGAAGGUGUUUAAAUUUCCUUUGGCUUAAAGGUGUUUAAACCUGAAGCUGUCAGUUUUGUUGCAAUUAUUUACAUUAGACGAACUUUUUAAUACAAGGGCACGGUUGUAAAAGUAACAAGGUAGACAAUCCUUUCCUUUCACUCCUCCCAAGUCUCAAACAAAACCAAAAAAAUCAUUUCUUUUCCUUUUUUUCCUAAGUUCCAAGACAACAUUGAAGGAAACUUGUCUAACUUAAUUAGUCAAACAUUCUUUAUGUUCGUGUAUAUAUAUAUAUAUAUAUAUAUAUAUAUACAUACACACACAUAUAUAUAUAUUUAUAUGACUAAAAAUCCAAGGUUGUGCAAAAUUUAAAAGAUUUUUUAAUAAUCAACAGUUCUACAAUUUGGACAAAGAAUCUCAAGAUUUCAUUAUUGACCAAAGCAAGUAAUUUGAGAACACAAACCUCACUACCAAGACACUAAAGGUAACCAUCCGCUACACCUCUCAAAAUUUCUACUACACAGGAAGCACAUUAACUGGUUUAAAAAGAGGGAUCUGUUUUUGUUUAUUGAUUUGCUAUAUAAACUUUUUGGUCCCAUUAAUUUUCGCUACCUUAAUUCCCUAAUUGAGGAACGGUCUGAUAAAAGUUUCACCACCUACUCAGAUUGCUACAAUUUAUGAGUUCCAAUUUCUUUUCAUCCGACCACAGUGGUUUAAUUUCUUCGACAACUAAGGCCCCCAUCAGUGACUAAAUCAGAUUGCGCUAAAAUUAUUUUGAGGUGACCCCACACAAUUUGAUUAAUCACAAUUAUACUAAUUUAAAUCUCACACAUCAGCCCACUGGAAUCGUUAACUCAUCUCUCUCUUAUUCUGACUGGCUUCUAUUCUGAUUUCUGCCAAUUGUUGCGGAAACAUUCCUUCCAUCUCUUCUAUCAGAAAACCUUUCGAUCCUAGUUCCAAUUCCAAGCAAGAAACAAUGGCUGAGGCUGUUAUCAGUGCUACUGUUGAGGUCGUCUUGGGGACACUUAUUUCCAUUGCUGCGGACCGCAUUGGUAUGGUUCGGGGAGUCAAAGCGGAGUUGGAGAGACUAAGCAACACUGCUGCAAUGAUCCAAGGUUUCUUGGCUGAUGCUGACGGGAAAAUGCAUACCCAAGGGGUGCGAGAGUGGCUCAACAGCUAGAAGAUGAGGUUUUUAAAGCUGAUACCGUGCUAGACGAGCUCAACUACGACAAUCUUCGUCGGGAGGUGAAGUACCGAAAUCAACCAAUGAAGAAGAAGGUAUGCUUCUUCUUCUCCUUCUUUAAUAAAAUUGGCUUUAGUUCCAGCUUGGCUUCAAAGAUCCGGGACAUCAACACCAACCUAGAAAGGGUCAACCAGCGAGCCAAUGAGUUGAGAUUGGCCAAAAAGCAGCAAAAAGAAGCUGCACUCCCUGCUGAUGCCGCUGGUGCCAGACAGACCGACUCUAUUGUCGUUCCGAACGCUGUAGGAAGAUCCGGCGACGAGUCAAAGAUUGUGGAUAUGUUAUCGAGCCCAUCUGAAAAGGUUCUUUCUGUUAUUCCCAUAACAGGCCCGGGAGGUUUGGGAAAGACAACUCUGGCGAAAUCAGUCUACAAUAAUCCAAAAAUAGAUGGGCACUUUGGCUAAAAAUCCGACAAAGAAAAAUUAGUAGCAUUAGAUAGAAUUUUCUAAAUAACCAUUCUAUCUAAACGAUUAAUGACCAACACCAUUCAUCUCCCUCCUAUGGAGGAAAAAGAGUAGAGAGAAGGUUAAGGGUAGAGACAGGGGAUAGAGAAGGUUGAGGGAAAAGAGAAAACAGCCCCUACGGCGACAAGAUUUUCGUGGAUCUGUAUAUUUACUAGUCCCGAUCAUAGCUUUUUUAGACUUCUCCUCUCUCCUGAAUUAAAAUAGAAUAGAUUAUACAAAUGUGUCGUUGCUGACAAAAAAAAAAAAAAAAAAAACCACCCCAGCGUGGUCAAUCGUAAAACCAAGAAAAUGCCAAGCAACUUCCAUUGCAAAAGCAUCCAAAUUUCCCAUUGAAUUGAAGCACUGCACGGCACCACACUCCGGUUAGCUUCUAAAUCAUAAACUCUUCCAAUUUCAGGUUAACUAAUCUAAGAAAAAGGAAUAACGCAUAACAUUUAUCAGCAAAUGGUCCAACUAUUAACCAAAAUCUCAACAUUAAGUCCAUAAUUCGGCAAGCUGACUUUUAUUACACACUAACACAACCUUCACUUUUUUCACAUUUUUUUUUUUUUACUUUUCUCUCUUUUUUUUUUGAUUCUUUUUUUUCAAUAGUAACAAAAGACUUAGUCGCUAGCCAUUUGAGCCUUUUGACGCGAACUCCAACAUUGGCCAUAUGAAGGAGCCCGGUUACUCAGCUUCUAUCGCCACGUGACCACGCACUCAUAGUAAUUACUAUUUUUUGACGCGAGAAUCGGCACUUUUGGUGAAGAUCCCCGGUUACUCGGUAGUAAAUACUAGCGGAGUACAGUCAAGUUUAUGCAUAGCUAAAAAUCACAAAAACUCAAUAUAACUCAAGAACCAAAAGAAAACUUGCAUCAGCUAGCCUCAUUUUCAAACAUGGAGAACUAAAGUUAAUAACCGAACCAAUUCACAUGAAAAUGCCAAUAAUCAUUCCCUAUGCCUAGGAAAGUUAACCAAAAAUUAUAAGAGUAAAACAAUCAUCGAUAUUCACCAAAGAGAUGUUUUUGGAUUCAACCACAUUAACUUGAUACCCUUUUAUUAUUAAAAUUGGCAAAAGUAGAAAUAGAGACAACAAUCCAACAUCAAAUUUUGGCAUGCACUUACGAGCCAAUCACUAAAAAGAAGAAAAAGAAAAUGAAUGAAAGACACUAGCACCAUAACUGCUCCCCCCACACCUAAAUCCUACAUUGUCCUCAAUGAAGGUAAUAAAGUAAUGAAAGCGAAGAGAACAAUGAAACUUCCCUGUUGAACAGCUAAGGGAUAGGAGGGAACAGUGGAGGGAAGCCGAGUUCUGAGACAUCCUUACCACUUGGUGGGUGAUGUUCGUCAUUCGCUCAUCUACGUUGUGAACCUGUGCUUGUAAGUGGCGCCACUCACCAUUGACGCCAAUUAUCACCCCAAACAACAAAAGACAGAAUAUCCAACAAGAUAGCAAUCACAAAUGCACAUUCAUAGUCACUGGGGUACCCCAACUCAACAAUUAAAAGUAAACGCGGGCCACCCCGGCCCAAAUAUGGUCAGCAAAGCACAGUUGCACUCCAAAAUCAACAACUAGAAACUAUUAUCAACAACUGAAAACUAGCAAAGUCACGUCCAUAAGCAUAGGGACUACCUAAUUCAGUCAGUCAACAAGCAAACUUGGCCAUUCAUAAUCUCAACAAAUACAUUCUAAAAUUUCAACAAAUAUCUCCAGAAAUUUCAACAAAUGCUAUAGCAGAUCAAAGCAGUAGUAAAGCAAUAGCCCCAAGUAUGUACUAAUCCACCAGUUGGGGAACCCCGGCCGCUGAGGUCACAAACAAUGGUCCCAAAAUAGCAAUAUUAACCAAUCACCAGGAUGUCUUCCAUAAUUAAUAAAUGCUACCAAUCUCACAAGUAAAACAAGCGGCCAGAUAUUCCAAUUCAACAUGCAAAAGCAGAAUCAAAUCGCCCAAAUGUCAAUAGACAGUUGCAUUAUUUCAGCUCACCCAAAAUCCCAACAAAUGGCUCCAGUUGGCCAAUAAAAGUCGCAACUCAAAAUUAUUAAUUUCAAUGAUAACAGCUCAGGGAUUGGACAAUGAUCACUUGGUCAACUAAAUAGAAGUAUGCAAUUGAGGUCCAAUUACCUCACCAGUACCACUGGUGUAGUAAACUGUGGAAAAGAAAUCACACACUACCACUAGCCGGCCACCGAUAAACCAAAAUAACAACUAUCAAUGCCAACAAUUGAGAAUUUCAACAAUCAAAACACAGGCAGAGCUGCCGUCCUAAUUAGCAAAAGAAAAUUUCACAACACCAGCCCACCCAAUGUAGUCAAAUCGUAACAAGGGCCCCAAUAAUAUGGCAUACCAGUGACAGCAUUUCAGAAAUUGAACAAUUACAACCUAAUCACAAAACCUCAGCAGUUAACCAGGUGGCCAAUCGAACGAAAUGAAGAAAUUAGGGGAGGCAACUUCCAAUUACCUCCACCGUAGGUAGUAGCCAGACGAAAUGGGACAGUAGUGGGUGUCAGUUGUGCCGGAAUCGCGUGAGGGGUUGCGGCGGUGUCGAUGAAAACAGCGGCGGUCAACGGUGGAGCAGGAGCGAGCGGCGCGCUAUGGAGGUGAAGAUGGCGGUGGAGCGCGCAAGGUGGGCUGCGGCUGGCGACGGAGAGCCGCGCUCUGGUGGAGCGCUGGGUGAUGGGGUUGCGGCGCAAGUGGGCGGCGGGCAACAGAGAGGGAGCAGGGGAGGAAGAAAGAAGAAAGAAGAAAGAAGAAGAAGAAAGAAAGAGAAAAAGAAAGAAAGAAAAGAAGGAAAAGAAAAAUUUUUUUUUUCUACGGAAAUCAAUUUUUUUUAAAAAUUUUUUUUUUUUGAAUUUUGGAAACGAAAGCUACGUUGAUAAGAAAAAUUUUCUUUGUUCUUUUUUUUUUUUUUUGAAUCCUUACAUUUCCCGCGAACGUGACGCGGGCACGUCAUGAGGGCAAGAGAGCUCUCAGAAGUUUCAGAAUUUCUGAUCGUGAGCUUCAUGCACGUCCCCACGCGGGCACGUCAAGAGGGCAGGAGAGCUCCCAGAAGUUUCAGAAAUUUCUGAUCGUGAGCUCCCUGCACAUCACCACGCGGGCGCGUCAUGACUGAAGGGCACCUAUAAAUCAGCAAAAACGAAAAUUAACACCCAAAAUCAGUCAAAUUCAAGGAAAUCAGAUUUAAACUAUGACACGAAACCAAUCAAGCAAUUAAAAGAAACAAUUGGGUUGCCUCCCAAUGAGCGCCUUUCUUUAAUGUCUUUGGCUAGACAUGCUAUGCUUGUUCACGGGGGAUAAAAUCUUGUGGCUCGUUUCAAUGCUUCAUCUUCAAUAUGAUCCUGGUAACCCUCAUAGAUGGAGUAAUCUUUGAACACACGAGUUACGGGCUUCCAUGGACUAGUAAAUGGCGCUAAACAAGUCAACAAUGAUCUGCAUUCUCCACUCACUCCUCCACCACACGCAUUCAUCGGUUCAAGAUAUUUUUCCAUUGCCACUCUUAACUUAUUCCUGUCAUGAAAUUUCAAAUUUUCUGGUAUAAUAAAAUCAAUUUCAGUAACAGGAAUUGAAGAAGAGGAAUUAGGAAAAUAUUGAUUAAGGAGUGGAGAAGAUGUCACCGCAUUUGGAAAUUGUUCACUGGAUUCAUUCACUUGAAUACUUUGAUGUUGGAGUCUCAUGUCUUCCGCUUCAACUUCCUUUUCAACUGUAUCUUUGGAUCCUCCUUCUUGAGACUCUUGCAGUUCCAUAUCACUUGUCAGGAUAAUUGCACUCUCACCUUUCUUAGAGUCAUUGAUGGUCUGUGAGGGCAAGUCUGACAUGAAUAACGAUUGUUGAGACUCUUGCAGCUGAAAACUCAUUGACCCCUCUUCAUAAUUAACGUUAGAGUUAUCCCACCAUCCUUGAUCAUACCGGUUUGAAUAAGGGUCAUACCACGUUUGAGAUCGAGGUGAAGAAUCUCCAAAUUUUUUUUUUGAGAUAGUCACUCAGGUAGUCUUGAUAUUCGGGGCACAUACCGGUUGAAUGAUCCCUGGCAUAACAAAUUUCACAGGUUGCAGCAGCCAUUCUUUCUCUAACAGAGUUUAGUGCCUCUGCAUAUGCAGACCUCACAAAAAAACUAGCCUCAUUGCCUUCCCCGGAAAUAAAAUCCAGUAUAUCACCAAAAUACGGAGUGUAAGAAGCCAUAAACUAAAUAAAAAAAUGUAAACAAGAUGAAUUGAAAAAGAAACAAAUAACUAGCGCCAGUCCCCGGCAACGGCGCCAAGAAUUGACAGGUUGUCGAAACAUGUGCAAUAAUAAAUACCUGCUCAAACUAAAAGUAGUUUCUGUAGAUAGUGGUGAGCAGGGUCGAAUCCACAAGGACUGGAGUAAUUAUUUCUUUUCAAGCUCACAGUGACAAGGGGGUGUUUUAUAUCAGGAGUGACAAUUUAAACAAAUCAACUAAAAGUAAAAUAAUAAAAAUAAAAUAGCCAACUAGAAAUUAAAUAACAAAUUACUAAAAUCAAAUGAGUGAUAAUUAAGGAUCUAGCCAAGGAAUAACUUCAGCAAAGGUGCACCUAAUUGAUCAUCGAUAAGCAAAGGCAAUUCCAAUUAUUUACUAAUAAAUAGGUUAUAACUGCCAAACAAGCGAUGACAGUCAACCCCUCCUUACUGUGUCGGUGAUCAAGGUACGCCCGUUAAUCACUGCUCUAAUUGAGAAAUAAUCCUAGGUACGCCCGUAGAAUUUAAUUCCUCAAUUGCCUUACGUAUUAGAGGAGCCCUAUUCUAACCAAAUAACGCACUACCAGGGUUAUUUUAGAUUAGCCCGCGUAUUCUCCUGACACAAACCCAAUCAUGCCAGUUAUCACUAUUUUGAGACAAUUAAACAAUUACGGAUUUAACACCUCAAUUGACAAUAGAUUAUUAAAUUAACUAAUUAUCCGGAUCCAAGACAAUCAAUUAAUUAAACAACCAUAAGCACUGCAAUCAGGGAAUAUGCAAAUAUCAAUAAAUAAGAGAAAAAGAUAAAAUUAAAUCGAUCUCACAAGUUUAGAUGACCCAAAGCAUCCGUUGUCCCUUGACUAGAGUGAGGGAUUUAGUUCAUAUUUGAUGAACUAAAUCCACAAGGAAUAAAAGCAAAAUCUACGGCCAUCGUUCUUGCUCGCGCUAAUUCAACUCGGCCGAAGGAAUAAGAAAAAGCUACUAUAAAGCUAACAAGAAAAGUCAACAAAAGCCACAUUGGCUGCUGAAAUCCGUGAGGCAACUACUACUAAGAAGCCCAAGAAAAGUCAAAGGAAACAAUUCCUUGAUAUUCCUGCCAUGUGCAGGAGCUCCUUGGUCAAAAGUCCAAAAGGAAAAGCAAAUCUCAUGCUAAGCUUCAGCUCCCUCCUGUGCGGCGGCCUCCUUCCGGAGAGGAAGAAGAAGACCCCUGCCUUCAGCCCUUCGUUGCUCCUUUUAAUGCUUUUGUUUUCGGCAAUUACUAAAAUGGGCAUAAGCUUGCCUUUGCCAACAAUGCCCCUGGGGUGAGCUCUGUGCCUUAGACUCCUUUUUUGUCAAAUUAGCACUUGUUAUCAUAUUUUCGUUCUACUCCCUGGAAUAUAUGCAAAACACUAAAAAUGAGUAGAAUCCAGCAAUUAAUCCACAUCGGGUCAGGUAAUAGGGAAAAUUAAUAAUAAAAUAAAUGAUAAAAUUACACCCUAUCAACAUGGCUGCACUGGAGAAAAAUCAGGAGCUUCUCCAUUAUGCUUCUUUAAAUCCUAGCCCUCUUGAUUCAAGCUAGCUUUUCAGCAUGUUUUGUCUGGCUAUGUUUCAAAUCCUACAAAGCAAUUGUGAAGGUUGGAUUGUUAUCAAAAGAAAGUUGUAGGAACAGAAAACCAUGAAUUUGUGUAUUAUUCCCCAUUAGUUUUUUGACUUGCUUUUGAAAAGAAAAAAAUAACACCUGAUAUGAUUGGGAGUUUGGCAGACCCUGUUUGUGUAUAAACAAAGAAAAACUUUGGGGAACUUAAGGCCUUAGUUCUGAAUUAUGUGCCAUUAGUGUAGUGGCAGAUGGUUUUCUUAAAGAGAGUGGCUCAAGUCAUGUGGUUCCUGACCCAAAAACAAUAACAAAUCUACCGUUGUACCUUUAUUUCUUGCUAUGGAGCACGUCCAUGACCCCAUGAUCAUGAUUUUUCUGGGGCUGAAAGUGGGGUAAAUUUAACGCCAUACGAGUCUGCGGUAGUUCCUAGAGAUAAUUUCAAAAACUUCUCUUGAAGUUUAUCACUUAGCACUCUUAGAUCGUGUUUGUAUUGUAACUUUUUGAAAUUUUUGUAAAAAAUAUACUGUAACAAUUUAAUAUAUAUAAGAUAAAAAGAUGUUUGAAAAAUGUGUUCAUUUAAACGUAAAAAUAUUUGUGAAAAAUUCCUUUUCAAACAAGGCCUUAAAAUUGCUAUUCUUUGACUAAUUAAUGACAUGACAAAAUGUUCAACCACUUUCAUUUCUUUAUUCUUUAAGUGCGUGAGAAGAAAGCAUUGCCUCUAUAUUAAUGCCUUAAUUAAUCAAGCGAUUUCCACACGAAUAAUUGACUAAAAAAUUGGUCUGAAGAUGUCAUUAGCCAUUUUCACUUCAUUAUUUCAUUUUUUAAUUACUGUUUAUUCGAUGGAAUCAAGAAGAUGCUUUCUGGUGUAAAUAAUAACAAAUUCAAAAAUAAAGAGACGCAAAAUAUGCAAUUUGGAGGAAGUUGUUGCGGGGCGUCCAAUCUGUCCACUCGCAUUGGUAGAUGGACACUUUAUUAUUCUUUGUUCUUGGCCUCUAUAGCGGUUUUCACAUUUGCCACCGAUCCAGAAUAAGUCCCUACUUUUUCUCUCUUUUUUUUUUUUUUUUGGUUUUUGGCCUUGAAAAAAAUGAGCAAUCAGACAACCACUUUCAUUUCUUUAUUUUUAAAUUGCACGAGAAGAUGCCUCAAGCAAAGGUGAAGGAGAGUGAAGGAGAGCACUUUUCUACUGUUAAUAAUUUUAUUCCUAGAGAGCAUAAAAAACAAGUACUGCCUACCACUAGUCACUGACUCACUGCUACUUGAGGACUUGGGAGGCGGAGUUGGGAAGUUUAGCGGGGCUGACAUGGAAGUGAUGGAAACUUGAAGCUUGGAGUGCAAAAGAAAGAAAAAAAAAUUUCUUAUUAGUUUGGUGGGAGUAUAAAAGAGUUAGUGGGAAAUCAUAUUUUACCGAAUUGAAAUUUUCUCGAUCUUUUCUUCUUCCAUUUCUCCUAGCAAAAACCCUUGCUUUGUUCGUUCUUUUCAUUCUCUCACAAACGAUCACACUUGGGAAAUCAAGCUCAAGUAAGUGCUUCGCAAGAGCUAGGAGAUCUUCCUUUAUCUCUUAAUCAAGGUAACUCUUGCAUCUUUUGAGUUUUCUUUAUUUGAUUUGAUUUGGUUUUGGGUUUAGAUGUAAGCUAAGCUGCUAAGCUUUGGUUUCAAGUGGACCUUUUGGUAGAGGUCCUUAUAUAUGUGGUAGUUUGGGUGAUUCUGGUUAUUUCUUGAUUGAGGGAUAAUUGUUGAGGUUUUGGAUGUUUGGUGAUGUUUUGGGUUGGUUUGUACUUUGGUUAUAUGUUGUGUUGGGUUGGAAAUAGGUAGAAGAGGUGAAAAAGGAAGUAAAGCAAAACUAAUUAGUAUCACAUUUGCCAUCGAUCUAAAACAAGCCAUAGAUGAGAACUAGCAAUUUUUUAAUGUGGUACUAUUAAAUGGAAUUUUUUGAAUUACUAAAAUUGCAGCAAAGUGAAGGGAAUUCAAGCACAAAGUAUCCAAUAGCUGUGGUACAACAAAUACAUGAUUAAGUGGAUAAUUAACUAAUAGUCGAUGAGAAGCUAUCCUCACUUCUUUAUUUUUCAUCUUAAUUACUAUAAUAAUAAUAACAAUUAAGAAGUGGCUUGAUGAGAUGAAAAUGUCACAGCCCAUAUCUUUGUUUCUUGUCUCAGUUCCUUCAGUAAUCAAGAAGAUGAUUUGUAAAUGCAAAUAAUAAAGUAACAAUAAGAAAACAAUUAUAAAAAAAAAGAAAAAAAAAGCAAGAAGAUGCAAUUUGGAGGAAGUAGCCACUGUGCUUUGAUCAUGACAGAUGCUUAUCAAGAUGACUCAUUUAAACUAGAAAAUUUGGAAAAAAAAAAAGUAAAGUGAUACAUCAUCUUUUUUUUUUUUUUUUGGGUGUUGCUUUCUUGACCAAGAAAUAUCUAAACCAUAUCUUACCUACUUAAUUAAAAAAAUAAAAAAAUAAUAAAAAAACGUGUCCUACCUGCAAUUAUACUUUAUCACCUUUUUUUUUAAUGCCGACUAACAAUUAAAUUAGUGAUAAGAUAUCAUCAACAAUUAUUCAGCCACUUUCAUUUCUUUAUUUCUUAUCCACUCGAGAAGAUGCUUCAAGCAUAAAAGAAGAAAUUCCUCUAAAUUAUUGCCUUAAUCAAGAGGGUGCAUCUGCGAGGAAAAAGUCUUACAUCAUCCAAUUCCAAAGAUGAGUUUGCUUUUUUCAACGUCAUUGAAUCUACGAAUGAAAAAGGAACCAAACCAUAAUACUUCUUAAUCACCUCAAAACGCAAUCUUUCUACUAUUAAAGUUUUUAGCCCUACCCACUACUAGAUAGAAUAUUUAAACAACUAAAGGCCGCCAGCAUUGACAACACCAAUUAGUCUCACAACAAGUAUUAUGUAGAAUUUUUAAAAAUCCGACAAAGAAAAAUUAGUAGCAUUAGAUAGAAUUUUCUAAAUAACCAUUCUAUCUAAACGAUUAAUGACCAACACCAUUCAUCUCCCUCCUAUGGAGGAAAAAGAGUAGAGAGAAGGUUAAGGGUAGAGACAGGGGAUAGAGAAGGUUGAGGGAAAAGAGAAAACAGCCCCUACGGCGACAAGAUUUUCGUGGAUCUGUAUAUUUACUAGUCCCGAUCAUAGCUUUUUUAGACUUCUCCUCUCUCCUGAAUUAAAAUAGAAUAGAUUAUACAAAUGUGUCGUUGCUGACAAAAAAAAAAAAAAAAAAACCACCCCAGCGUGGUCAAUCGUAAAACCAAGAAAAUGCCAAGCAACUUCCAUUGCAAAAGCAUCCAAAUUUCCCAUUGAAUUGAAGCACUGCACGGCACCACACUGAUGGAGGCCCCCCCAGAUGUGAACAGCUGAUGGCCGCCUCCAUUGACCCAUCUUAGUAUUGUCACGGCCGACAAAUUUUGGUCUAAGCUUCCAUACAGCUAUUCUUUAUCAAAUCAUGCAACAUAUAUUUAUUUGUAAACCAAACAUGUAACAAAUAUUUGGAGAAAAUAGAGAAACUAUUUGUGCCCUCUUUUUGCUUCAAGAUCAGGUAACCUCCUCUUCUAUUCAUAGUUUCUUCAUAGUAUUAUGGAUACAUUGACAUGGGGUGUAUGAUGGAAUUCUUUUUGUCAUAUGAAUUUUCAAAAUUCCUUAAUGAAUUAAAUUUAAAUUCUUUUUAGUUGUUUUCUUAAAUACUUGAUAGCUUAUUCUUGGUCUUCUACCUGAUUAUAUGAAUAAUUAUACGGCUUCAAUGAUUUUUCAAAAUUAUCCCUCUUCAAUAAUAGCUAACAAUCCUGGACGACAAGUAGGAUGAGAGAUUAUGAUGUAUGUAUUUCUAGGAAAGCUCGUUCAUUUGCAUUUGGAUCAAAGUUUAAACAAGUUGGAUAAUUGAUAAUUUAUUCCUGUUGAAUCAUCUUAGACAUCAAUUUAUGCUGCACUUAGCACUGAUCUUAAUCACUUACAACUAUGAUCAGAUUAUCACCAAUUAAUGGCUUGGCAUAAUCCCUCACAACAACUUUUGCCGGUUCUUUUAGAUGGAGCAAUAUACUCGUAAGGCAGCAUACGACAUGAAAUAAUUGAUUUUUUUUCCAACUAGUAUUGGGUGGCAAACUAUGAUCAUAUUUUAAGGACUUCGUAUAUAUAGUAAGGUGGUCUGAUUAGCAACAAAUUUAUUAUUUUAGUUACCUACUGACUCAUAAAAACAAAUACACUAACAUUAAUACUUUUAGAUGGAUAAGAAAUCACACGAAGAUUCAAAUCAGUUUCACAUUCAACAAAAACCAUGACAAUUAGUUGGUGUUCACGUUAUUUGCCAUGUAACAAAAUUGAUCAUGCCUCAAAGGAUUUGUUGUGCAAAUUAUGUAGAUCGACCCAUUGGGCAUCGAUCUAAACAAAGUCAGAAUGUGCAAAAGGAAAUAUUGAUGCAACUUAGAACAAAUUAGAUAUGUAGACUCGACAAACAUUGACAAAAAAUUCCUAAUUUUGGCCAACUUGGAUAUAUAAACUUAAACGGUGAUGUGAGGUGAAAAAUUAGGGGCAACAUGGUGGAACACUGGUCUAGGGGAAUUAUAUGACAAUUAUAGUUUAGAUGGAGUAAAUUAAUAAGCUCUUGACUUAAACCUGAAGGUGUUUAAAUUUCCUUUGGCUUAAAGGUGUUUAAACCUGAAGCUGUCAGUUUUGUUGCAAUUAUUUACAUUAGACGAACUUUUUAAUACAAGGGCACGGUUGUAAAAGUAACAAGGUAGACAAUCCUUUCCUUUCACUCCUCCCAAGUCUCAAACAAAACCAAAAAAAUCAUUUCUUUUCCUUUUUUUCCUAAGUUCCAAGACAACAUUGAAGGAAACUUGUCUAACUUAAUUAGUCAAACAUUCUUUAUGUUCGUGUAUAUAUAUAUAUAUACAUAAUAUAUAUACAUACACACACAUAUAUAUAUAUUUAUAUGACUAAAAAUCCAAGGUUGUGCAAAAUUUAAAAGAUUUUUUAAUAAUCAACAGUUCUACAAUUUGGACAAAGAAUCUCAAGAUUUCAUUAUUGACCAAAGCAAGUAAUUUGAGCACAAACCUCACUACCAAGACACUAAAGGUAACCAUCCGCUACACCUCUCAAAAUUUCUACUACACAGGAAGCACAUUAACUGGUUUAAAAAGAGGGAUCUGUUUUUGUUUAUUGAUUUGCUAUAUAAACUUUUUGGUCCCAUUAAUUUUCGCUACCUUAAUUCCCUAAUUGAGGAACGGUCUGAUAAAAGUUUCACCACCUACUCAGAUUGCUACAAUUUAUGAGUUCCAAUUUCUUUUCAUCCGACCACAGUGGUUUAAUUUCUUCGACAACUAAGGCCCCCAUCAGUGACUAAAUCAGAUUGCGCUAAAAUUAUUUUGAGGUGACCCACACAAUUGAUUAAUCACAAUUAUACUAAUUUAAAUCUCACACAUCAGCCCACUGGAAUCGUUAACUCAUCUCUCUUAUUCUGACUGGCUUCUAUUCUGAUUUCUGCCAAUUGUUGCGGAAACAUUCCUUCCAUCUCUUCUAUCAGAAAACCUUUCGAUCCUAGUUCCAAUUCCAAGCAAGAAACAAUGGCUGAGGCUGUUAUCAGUGCUACUGUUGAGGUCGUCUUGGGGACACUUAUUUCCAUUGCUGCGGACCGCAUUGGUAUGGUUCGGGGAGUCAAAGCGGAGUUGGAGAGACUAAGCAACACUGCUGCAAUGAUCCAAGGUUUCUUGGCUGAUGCUGACGGGAAAAUGCAUACCCAAGGGGUGCGAGAGUGGCUCAAACAGCUAGAAGAUGAGGUUUUUAAAGCUGAUACCGUGCUAGACGAGCUCAACUACGACAAUCUUCGUCGGGAGGUGAAGUACCGAAAUCAACCAAUGAAGAAGAAGGUAUGCUUCUUCUUCUCCUUCUUUAAUGCAAUUGGCUUUAGUUCCGGCUUGGCUUCAAAGAUCCGGGACAUCAACACCAACCUACAAAGGAUCAACCAGCGAGCCAAUGACUUGGGAUUGGUCAGAAAGCACCAAAAGAAACUGGUGCCACUGGUGCCACGACAAGCAGACAGACCGACUCUAUUGUCGUUCCGAACGUUGUAGGAAGAUCCGGCGACGAGUCAAAGAUUGUGGACAUGUUAUCGAGCCCAUCUGAAAGGUUCUUUCUGUUAUUCCAUAAUAGGCCGGGAGGUUUGGGAAAGACAACUCUUGCUAAAUCAGUCUACAACAAUCCAAAAAUUGAUGAGAAUUUUGGCAUAAGAGUUGGGUUUGUGUGGCUAGAAAAAUUGAUACAGUGGGGCUGUUCAAACUCAUUUUAGAAUUUGUUGACAAAAACAAAGGUUGAAGUGGAUGGUAGGGAAGCCAUAGUUCAAGAAAUUCGAGGAAAGCUCAAGGGACAAAGAUUUCCUUGUUCUUGAUGAUGUGUGGGAUCAUGAUCAAGGAUCGUGGGAUGACUUUCAACACUUUGAUGGGACUCAACGAAACCAAAGAAGCUGGUGUCUUCUCACUACUCGUCUAGAAACAGUGGCUAAUGCUGUGCCUAGACAUUUGCAAAUGAAUGAUCGUCCUUAUUUCUUAGGAAAGCUAUCGGGUGAUGAGUGCUGGUCCAUCAUAAAAGGAAGGUGAUGAGCGCAGGGAAGAAGUGCAAGAAGAAUUGGAAGCACUGAAGGAGCAAAUUUUAAGGAGAUGCGAUGGCCUACCCUUGGCGGCAAGUUUGAUUGGUGGCUUGUUGCAUACCAACAGAAGAGAUAAGUGGCACUCCAUUGUGCAGGAGAGUCUUUUGAAUGAAUAUCAAAGCGAGAUUGAGCAAAUACUUAAGGUGAGCUUUGAUCAUUUAUCACCUGCAUCAGUUAAGAAAUUUUUGCAUAUUGCUCAAUUUUUCCCCAGGAUACUCAAUUACGAGAAGAUGAACUAAUUCAGCAUUGGAUUGCAGAAGGUUUUGUUCUAAAGAAUAAUAGAGUGAUGGAGGAAACAGGAGGCAAGUAUUUGAGGAUUUUGUUGCAAAAUUCCUUACUAGAAAAAGUCGAAGAUGAGGGGAGCACAUAUUAUAAAAUGCACGAUCUCGUGCAUGAUUUUGCAAAAUCAAUUCUCAAUCCAGAAAGCAGCAAUCAGGAUCGCUACCUUGCAUUGAACUCUUCUGAAGGUUUGGCAGAAAAUACCACAAGGACAAUACCAGCCAUCAAUUCGCACGUUAUUUCUCCAUCUAGAGGGUGGCGUAUCUACUGACAUGAACAUGCUUUUAAGAUUCAAGGGCUUGAAUGUUCUCAGAUUGUCUGGCGAUGAUGUCGAGUCUCUACGAGCUCCAUUGGCAAACUACUACAUUUGCGGCUGCUCGACAUUAAAUCUUCUAGAAUCAGAAGUUUGCCGGAAUCUCUUUGCAAGUUAUAUAAUUUGCAGACACUAACGAUUGAUGAUGAUGAACUUGAAGGAGGUUUUCCAAAGCGGAUGAGCGAUUUGAUCAGCUUGCGGCAUCUAAACUACUACCAUGAUGAUGCAAAAUUUAAAAUGCCGGCGCAGAUGGGACUAUUGACUUGUCUUCAAACUCUGAAAUUUUUUAAUGUAAGUCAAGAGAGGGUCGUGGUAUCGAAGAGCUUGGGACCUUGAAAUAUCUGAAAGGAUUGUUGGAGAUAAGAAAUCUUGGACUAGUGAAGGGCAAAGAAGCAGCUAAACAAGCAAAAUUGUUCGAAAAGCCAGAUCUGUCUCGCUUGACAUUUGCAUGGGAGCUGCGACAUCUGGAAAGUGAUAACCGUGAUGAGGAUGUGUUGGAAGGUCUCCAACCUCACCCAAAUUUGGAAAGGUGAAAAUUCGAUAUUUUAUGGGUAAUAAAUUUUCACAAUGGCUUAUCAAUUUGUCAAAAUUGGUGGAGUUACAGAUAAUAGACUGCAAGAGAUGCAGUGAACUCCCUCAUUAGGACAACUACCAUCCCUCAAACGUCUCUCUUUGAUAAGAUUAGACAACAUUCGAUUUAUUGGAGAUGAGGAGGAGGAGGAGGGCGGCGCUAGAAGACGAAAAUUCUUUCCUGCCCUUGAAGAACUCUGGGUAAUAGAUAUGGGGAAUUUGGUAGAGUGGAAGGAUGCAGACCAAGUGCGGUCAACAGUAGGUGAAGCAGAAGCAGAUGUCUUUCCCAUGCUGAGGAAUUGUCACAUUCGACGUUGCCCACAACUGACCACUCUUCCAUGCUCGUGAAAAGUCUAGACGUGGAGGGUUGCCGUAAUCUAACAAGUAUAAAAAGGGGUUAUGGCACUGCUUCUGUUGAGGAGUUGAGUAUUCAAUUUUGCGACAAUUUUAGGGAGCUGCCAGAUCUGGAUCUGUUUGGAUCGAGUUUGCAGCGAUUGACCAUCUCAUUUUGCCCAAGAUUAAUUAGUCUGGGAGUAAAUGGACAGAAAUGCCCCUACCAUGCCUUGAGGAAUUGAGCAUUGAUAAUUGCGAAGGGUUGACCACUAUAUCCGACAAAAUGUUCGAGUCAUGCCGGUCUCUGCGGUCCCUGUCGUGAUGUGGUGCCCCAAUCUGGUAUCAUUUUCGCUUAAUUUGCAGGAAACGCCUUCUCUCGAGAAAUUCAUCUUAUUCAAAUGUCCCAAAUUGAUCCCUCAUGGUUUCAAAGGAUUUGCUUUUGCCACCAGCUUAAGAGAAUUGAGCAUCAACAGUCCCUUCUCCUCAGAUGACUCCUCAGUCGAUGAUUUUGAUUGGUCUGGUUUAAGAUCAGCAUCAACACUCCGUAAACUUCGAUUAGAAGGGUUACCUCACACGGAGUCCCUGCCACACCAGCUUCAAUACUUGACUACCCUCACUUCACUAAGUCUGGCCGACUUUGGAGGAAUAAGAGUGCUACCGGAUUGGAUUGAAACCUUGUGUCCCUGAAACCUAGAGCUAUGGAUUGCGACAAGCUUCAGUCUUUACACCAGAGGCCGCCAUGAGACGACUCACAAAGUUAACUCGUGUUGAAGUCUAUGGGUGUCCUCUGUUAAGACAACGAUACACUCCCCAAAGAGGCGUCCACGGUGAGAUUUUCCUAUCUAAAGUUCACACGCAUAUAUAUGUGUAUAAAUUUUUUGUAUCUGCAUCUCAUUGACGUAUAUUUGCUCUUCAAUCUCUUGUACUUUUUCUCCAUCUCUUUUCUGCAAAGUUAUUCUCUGUAAUUAAUUCUCUUCUUUUGGGCAGACCUUGGUUCUUUUCAAAGAUUAGUUUUAACAAAGCGGUUUUGAGCAAACUAAGAGAGACCAAAAUUCUGGAUUUUCUCUGCAUCUCACAUGAAAGAUUUUGAACAUCUUAAAAAUCAACUUGUUACCUUAUAUUUGCGCAAGAACGAAAUUAUUAGCAACGGUACAUACACAAUUAGCCUCUUUGUUUGAAUGUGUUAGCAAAUGUUCCAUUGGAUGUGCAAUGCUAGAUGUACAUGGAAGCAUUCGUCAUUUUUCUGUCACUGAUAAUGCCAGUCUGAAUGGACAACAUUAAAGCUAAUCAAGAAACAGUUGUUGAAGAAAAUUCAAGAAGCAAUUUGCUAUGCUUUGGGACUCCGUGUUCUUAUUGCCAUAAAAUUAUAUCAUGCCAUAAAAUUAUAUCAGUCUCCUUGAAGUUCAAAUAUGUUUGUUGAGGAACUAGAUGCAAACCUUCACCGAUGGUUGUUUAUUAUCUUUCACAAGUUUGAGGAGUUUGUACAUCGGAAUUACCUUGCUUUUCUGUUCUGUGAGCUGAAUUACUGUAUUGUUACCUUGCAUACAAGCAGUGACAGCGAACAAGAAGGCAAUGAUGGUGCUCAAACAGCAGGCUCAUGUUGUUUCCCACCGUUGCUGAAGAAGGAGAGCUCAGGAGGUACAAGCAGUGACCGCGAACAGAAGGCAAUGAUGGUGCUCAACAUCAGCUUUCUCCCCAAGAACUCUGUUUUACCUCCACCAAUUUAUUAAAAUACAAGGGAAUUGGUGCAAGUUUUUAUCAAAGUUUGCUUGAGUCAUGUAAUUGGCCAGAAAACAGGUGUUUUUCUGCACUUUCAUGUGUUUUUGAACGUUUGUCCUAUGCUAUAUAGCUUAGUUUUUGUUCUUUAAGAUUUUACAUUUACUCAACAUGUCAUUUAAUUGUGAAAAAAGUUGGUUUUUUCAAUUUCCUUGUACUGGUUACUAGACCAUACCUUUUCUUUGCGUUCCUUAGCUGUCAUAACUGAAUUCAUACUGAAAUGUAAUCUUUGAGAAGUUUGUACAUCACAAUUACCUUGUUUUUUUGUUCUGUGAGCUGAAUUACUGUAUUGUUACCUUGUCUAGCAUGACCGACAAGAAGGCAAUAAUGGUGCUCAAACAUUAGUUUCAUGUUGAUUCCAUCCUUGCUGAAGAAGGAGAAACCAGAAGGUAUGAUGGUUCUCAAACAUAGCUUCUCUCCCAAAGAACUCUUUAACCUCCGCCCAUUUAUUAAAAUACAAGGAACUAGUGCAAGUUUUAUCAAAGUAUGCUUGAGUCAUGCAAUUUGCCAGAAAACAGGGUGUUUUUUUUGUACUUUCAUGUACUUUGAACGUUUGUCCUGUCUAUAUAGUUAGUUUUUAAUCUUUAAGAUUGUACAUUUACUAGGUGCUUAACAUGUCAUUUGAUUGUGAAAGAAGCUGGUUUAUUCCAUUUUCUUGUACUGGUUACUAGACCAUCCUUUUCUUUGCAUUCCUUAGCUGUCAUAACUGAAUUCAUACUGAAGUGUAACAUUAUGAUGGUAUUUUCCAGAGUCUUAGAAGCAGACCUCAUGUUGUUUCGACAAAGACACCACCCUUUGCUGUUGCAUUUCUUACAAGAGUGCCAGGGGGCAGAAGUUAUUUUCACUGACUAGACAGGUUUGAAGAUGAAGGUAGUAAUCAAUGAUGAGAAUCUUGCACAUCAGAGAGCGCUAGCUUUGAUGGAGGCUUCACCAAUAGGUGGUUCUCCCCAGGUUUCCCAAAUAUAAGUUUUUACUCAUCUCCUGCUUGGGCUGCAGAAAGAAAGGCAAUAAUUUAGCUUGUGCAUCUUCAGGGCAGUUUUGAUAGUUUUUUAUCUGCAUUCUUGAUAUGUAUUUCAUAAAUCAAUUACCAAACUUUUUUUCCCCUUUGCAUAGCAUGCUGAUCGCUGAAACAAAUUGGAAAGAGACCAGAAUUUUGGGUUUUCUCUGCCUCUCUGAACCUCUGAAAGAUUUGAACAUCUUAAAUAUCUUUAACUUCAAAUUGUUACAUUCUGUUUGGCCAAGGUCGAAAUUAUUAGCAUGGUUCAUACCCAAUUGCCUCUUCGUUUGAAUGUGCUACAAAAGUUUCAUUUGAUUUGCGAUGCUAGAUGUACAUGGACAUAUUCUUCAUUUUUCUGUCACUGAUAUUGCCAGUCUCAAUGGAUAACAUUAAAGCUAAUCGAGAAACGAUUUUCAAAGAAAAUUCUUGACACAAUUUGCUGUUCUUUGGGACUCUGUGUUCUUGUUGCCAUAAAAUUACCAGUCUAAUUGAACUUCAAAUAUGUAUGUGGAGGAACUAGAGUGCUGUGAACAUUCACCUCUUAUAAUUUAUACGGCAUGCUUCAUAUCAAUGACAAUAAUGUCUUUUUCUUUUCAAUGAAAAAUGUUGGAUAAUUGUUCAUCAUCUUUCACAAGUUUGGAAAGUUUAUACGUCACAAUUGCCUUGAUUUUCUGUUCAAUGAGCUGGAUUACUGUAUUGUAACCUUGCAGAUGAGCAAUGCAAGGAAUGAUGGGCUCAAACAUCAGCUUCGUGUUGUUUUCCAUUGCUGCUGAAGUGAAGAGCUCAGGAGGUAUGUGGUGCACAAAAGUGAUAAUCCAGCACUUCUCUCCCCGAGAACUCUAAGUUUGCAUUCUAAUAAGCUUAAGUCAUGUAAUUGGCAUGAAAACAGGGUGUUUUGCUGCACUUUUAUUUGUUGUUGAAUGCUUACCCUGUGCCACAUCGCUUAUCUUUUGCUCUUGAAGAUUUUUAUGUUUAUUUGGUGCUUAACAUGUGUUGUGAUUGUGAAAGAAUCUGGUUUUCAAUUUUCUUGCACUAGUUACCAGUCCACACCUUUUCUUUGCUUUCGUAGUUUGUCAUGAUUGAAGCUGUUCUGAAAUGUAAUAUUAAGAUGUUUAUUCCGAAGCAGACCUCAUGUUAUUGGACAAAUGACACCACCGAUUGCCGUUGCAUUUCUUACUAGAAUGCCAAGGGACAGAAGUUAUUUGCAUUGAGAGUUUGAAGAUGAAGGCAGUAGUUAUCAAUGAUGUUAAUUUAGCUCAUUAGAUAGCAUUAGCUUUGAUGGAUGUUUCGCAAAUAGUUGGUUCUCCCCAGGUUCCUCAAACAUAAGUUUUUCGGUUUCUCCUGGUCAGAAUGCAGAAAGGAAGGUAAUGAUUUAGCUUGUGUGUCUUGAGGGCAGUUUUAAUAGUUUCUGAUCUACUUUCUUGAUAUGUAUUUAGUAAAUCUAUUACCAAAACUUUUUUUCUUUUUGUUGAUUUCUGAACUGAAAAUGGCUAGUAGCAGGCUUGUAGAGUGUGAUAUGGAUGAAGAAGAAAGAGAGGGGAGCAUCAUCCGAGCAUGGAAGCUGAUGCUGGAGACCUAUCAAGAUGCGCAGCUGAUUAUAGUCAAACUGGACUGAUGGAUGUUUGUGACAGUAGACACAAUAAAUUGGAUAAACAAUCAAUUUGGAGCAGUGAGAAAUGUAGAUGCAAGAAGUCUUGAAUUGCACAAAGAUCCAAGGAAGAGCAGGGAAAACGUUCUUUUCAGUAGAUAUGUGCAUAUUUUGUGAAGAAUUAACACUUUUUAAAAUAUGGCAUUUCAUACUUUUGGUGUAUCAGAAUGUGACAAGUCCUGAUAGUACGUUUUCUUCAUCUUUUAUAGGGAGUAAAAGUAUGUCUAGAGACCAUGCUUGCAAGAUUUCCUACCCUUUUUUAGUUAGACAUUUGAUAGAGAGAACUUUUCCUCUUCAAAUAAUCAUUUUUAUUAUCUAUGAUAGGUGAAAUUGCUUAUCAAUUUUACCUGAUACUGCGAAAUUGCUUUGGGUUCAUAAACAAAUCAUAACAGUAAAAUCUGAAGGCUUUUAUAUAAAACCUAAAUGAUGAUCUUAUUGUUAAAGGUUUUAUAUAAAAAUAGGUACUUAAUGUCAAGAGCCUAAUCUUCAAGACAAAAAAUUUAUUAAAGCCGUUAAAUUAAGUAUUUGUACUAAGAUUUUUAUUUUCCUCUUUCUUUCAAGUAAGGUGGGGAGAGAUGAGCAAUCCAUAGCAUUCUUCAAUCUUCGAUUUAGAGAAUUGGAGUCUUUUCUUUAAGGGUGCGUUUGAUAAAAUUGAAAUUUAAAAUUUGAAAUCUGAAGUCUGAAAUCUAAAUCCAUUAACUACUGAAUUGUUAAGUACUAAAUUUGAUACAUUUAAAUGUAUAUCACAUUAAGUGAUAAGUGAAUAACUUAUCACUUAUUUUUUAGAACAAGUUUUGCUUUGGAAAUUCAUUGCCACUUAAUUAAUCCAUGUGUUUUAGUUUUAGUUAUCGAACGCAUCUGAAUAUAAUAAGCUAUGAAUCCAUUAAAUUUAAGUGUUAAAUUGGAUUAUCAAAUAGAAUCCAAGUUUAAUAGAAUUUCAACUAAAAAUCAAUAGGUUCGUUGAGCUAACAUAAUUUGCUAAUAAUAAUAAUAAUAAUAAUAAUACUUUCAAAUAUUAUUCAGAGAAAUGAGACAUGAGCCUUUAGUCUUCAUUCUCCAGUUGAACUUAGACGUUUUAGACUUUUAGUGGAGCACUUCUUUCAGGUAAAAAUUAAUUUCGCUAAAGCAUUUAAAUAAUUAUAGAAAACUAUUGUUCUCUUGAAUUUGGAUCAUAAAAUAUUUAGAGGUCAAACAUAUUGAUUUCGAUGCUGUUGAACCUCUGAGUAAUUAUCGAAGAACCUUUUGCAAUGAUAUCCUGCCAAGAGAUUCACAAUCCAUGCUAUAUUGCAUUGUUGAAAAUCAUACCAAAAAACCAGUCCUACAAAAAUCACAAUACUGUAGUACAUAUAAUCAGUUAACUUCUGGUCUUCGUGGAGUACAACUGUUUGACCCAUUUCUUUAGCCCAAAAUAAAUUUAUAAGUAGCGAAAGAAACGACCAUAUGAUCAAAACAGUAGGGCAAAAUACGAUUUGCCCUCAUGUAAUUUAGCGCUUUUUCGCAUAAUCUCUCAUAUAGUUUCAUAGUUAUGCAUACUCUUUUCAUGAUUUGGAUGAAAAUGUCAAAAUGACAGAAUUUGUAUUCUAUAAUAGAGUCAAUUAAAAUGUCAACAGUAUUCCUAUGUAAAGUUGAAAAUUAUUUAUUAACCAUGAAAAUUUAUGUAUAUAAUUUAAAAAUCAUAAAGGAAUUAUAUGGUAAAACAUUAAAUCAUAAAGGGGUUACAUGAUAAAUCAUAAAAUCAUACGAGGUUAAAGUAUCAUACAUAUUAUAUUUAUAUAUUUUGGCCAUUUCAACCAGUUUAGUUUUGAAACAAGAGUAAUUUUGACAUUUUCAUGGAUUCCAUUACAAAUGAUCAUUCCAGUUAUUUUGAUACUUUAAUUUAAACAAUGAGAUGAUAAUAUAUAGUUUUUACAACUAUAGAGAGAUUUUGUAAAAAAUUGCUAAACUACAGGGGGUAAAGUAUAUUUUGUCCAAAACAGUAAUACUAGAUUCAAACUAAUGAAAUUCUCUAUGGAUUAAAAUUGCAAAAACACUUUUCCGUUGGCAAGCCGGGACUUUCUUAUUUACAAAGGAUUCAAUUCCGCAAUUGCUUAACUCCAGCUGAAAUCGUGUUGCACCAUGAACUUUCAAAUCAAACCGGAGAACGAUGCCGCCUACGCCAAACCAUUAAAACUAUGUUGAACGGAGUUUGACACGAGGACUAUUGCAGGUGGCAACUCUCCAAAAAGGUUGACCGUCAUUAUUUGGUUAAAAAAAAUAUUAGGAUCAAAUGACAUCUUGUAAAUAAAUUUUAACACCAUAUAUGAGGUCCACAAAAUUUUAUUCUAUAUUUAUAAGUUGCUGAAAAUAAGUUACAUUCUAAAUAAAGUGAAUUACAUCUUGUGCAAAUGAAACAAAAUCGGCCCAAAUGAUUUUUCUGACAAUCGUUUGAAUCCUUGGUCCAUGGCAAACUUAUUACAAUACAUAGAGAGGCCUUCUCUUAUAGAUUAUAUAUCACUGCACACUAUUACACUAAUAAUUGAGUCUGACUUGUGAGGGUGGCAACUGUGGUCCAUAAUAGAAUUUUCAUAAGACAUACUUGGUUUCUAAAUUAUCCUUCACAUUUUGUUGAAUAAAUUAUUUCAUCCUUUACUUUUAAAAUGAUAACUUUAUGUUUCAUACAAAAUCAAAUCAGUAAAAUUUGAUUCCAAUCUAGAUUUUUUACCAUAUUUUAUCCUAAAUCUAUCACGUGACCCAUAUGCAAUCAUUAUUUAUGUAUGGAAAGGUUGAUCAGUUGCACGACGAAAAAUUACCCACUAAUGUAUGAGGAUAGUCUCUGAUGCCACAUCAUACAUUUGCACUUAUUAGUGUAAAAAAUUUUAACAUUAAUAGUGUAUACAAUAUUAAUCCUAUAUAUUUAAUAAUUCAAAGAAUUAUUAGAUUAGAAAAUUCAAUGUGCAUUCAUAUACAUAGAUCAAGAAAAUAAAAUAAAAAGUGCAAGGACAAUUGUAUAUCUUUCGUAUUGUAGGCUCUAUUUUCAAAUUCGGACCGGAUCGAUCGGUCUGACCGAUCAAAUAAAAAAUUGAUUGUUCGAUUCGAGUUAACUUUAAAAAUUGAAAGAUUAAAAAAAUCAAUCAAAUCUGGUCAAACCGGGUCAACCUGAUUUGACCGAAAAAAUAAAGAACCGGACUUGUCAUCACCAUGGUUUUCGUGGGCAGCCUUUUUUGACUUUUUUCCGGAGAUAACGGGAGGGAAACAUAUUCGGAGAUUUUGAGCCAUGAUGAAAGAAUCUUUUUUUUUUAUAUUUUUUUGAAAGGUCAAAAUAUCUUUAAUAUACUUUAAUAUUAUAUUUUGAUCCCUAAGUUGUUAAAAAUUAUUAAUAUAUCUCAAAUAUUUCAUAUUUUAUAAACAUUAUCUUAAAGUUUGGUGUUAUUUUUCAAUUAAGUCUAUAAUUUUAAUUCUAAACUUGUUAUUGCUCAUUAAAUAAUAUAAAUUGCUAAUUAAUUGUUCUAAUUUCUUUAUAUUUUCUUGUUAAAUAUAUUUGAAACAUCAAAUAUAUAUGAAUACAUCUUUAUUAAUAUUAAUAUGCUAUUAGUAUUUUACAUAUAAUAUUUUAAUUUUUAAAUAAUUUUUAUUUAUGACGUCAUCCGGUUCAACCCCGAUCGAACCCGGUUGAAUCCAUUGACCCCUGAGCUCGACCGAGUCGAUUCCCGGUCCGAUUCUGAAAACAUAGAUUGUAGGUUUCGAGCAAAUAUGUCUUGAUCGGGUUAAGGUUGUGGUUUUUAUAUAGAUUUGAAUCAACUAUCGUAAUAUAGAGGGCAAAGGUUAUGGUUAGAUUAGUAGAUGACCUUUUCUUCUUUUCAAGUGGUCUACUUGAAUUUGUUUAGUAAGAUUGAAUCAGAUAGAGGAUGAACUACGUUAAACAUAGAAUAUGGUAUUAAUAAGGAGUCAGUCGGUGACGUUGAAUUAGAGUAAACUAAAAUUAAGAAAAGACUUAGCUUAAAAGUAUCAAUGGACUUUGUUUUGGCAAACCUUAGGAGAGAUAAAUGUAGUUGAUCGAACAUGAUUAGAAUAAUAUACCAUCCAAAUCUAUUUUCAGUUGAGGAACCACAUAUGUUACAUUUAUGCAUUCAAAUCUACCAAUUGUGAUGCUUUAACAGCACCUUCUUGAUUAUGUAAAUAGUUUUCUAAUUUUUUUUAUGCUUUGAGGGAUAAUUUGUAAAAGUUAGUUUUUUUAAGAGUAAAAUGUCCCUUUUUUUCUUUUUUUUUGAAAUAAAUUCUAGCCAUAUAUAGACAUGUGAGUUUUUUUUAGUAAUAUAGCGAUUUAGAUUUCUUUCAUUAGAAUGCACUGACAAUGAUUUUCAAUGAUUUUCUUAUAAUCCCAUUCAUGAAUAGACUUCUAAUAACUCUUUGGGCUAUUUACACAAUACAAACAUGGAGUUAUUCUUGCAGUAUUGCUCAUAAGAGGGACAAAGUCAAUAUGACUCUCUACUUUGUAAGUUAAUUUGUUUGGACUUCAAGUUAAUAUUUUAAGUAAAGGAUAAAAGUAGCGUGAUAAGUAUAUGUCUGUAUUUGAGGCUUACAAUGUUUUAGCAAAUGCUUGGUAAUCCCCUUACUAAAAUCAAAUUCGAUGAUAAAUUACUAAUUGAUUUUCUAGAUAAAGUCACCGUAUCCUUUAGUUAAGCAUUAAGAGAUGAGGCAAACCUAUAGAUGGAGAAGACCUUAGAAUAGUUGGUGAGGUGGUAAGGAGCUUUUCCUAAUUUUCCCUUAAUAAGAUUUUUAUUCCUCUCUUUUCUCAAAAUAAACUUUUUAGCUUUAGUAGCCUGGCUAUUUGAAACAUUUGCAAGUGAAGUUCCAUGAAAACUGCGUUAGAGUUUGCUUAUUCGAGAUAAGGCAAGUGAAAAUGCCAAGCAACUUCCAGUGCAAAAGCAUUCAACUAUGCCAACGAAGCAUUGCGCUUCUACACGGAUUGAGGGCUCACAAUUGGUCACACCAUUAUCCUUUCUUGUCAUUAGAACAUAAUACUAGAAAUAUGCAUAUGAAAUAUUUCGCUUAUUAUGGCAUUUGUACACCUUUAAUGCAACGAAUGUACGAUUUAAACAUUAGUUUAUGUUGUAAUGAAUAUGUAAGUAAGAGUUACAUUAUGGCUAAUCUUUGCCAUAUAGUAUCUCAAGCAAUCAGUCCUAAUAAUUGUUAAGGCACUUUUUACCUAUUCAAUGAGAUUGAAACAAUGCAUCGUUCAAGUUAUUCUUUGUCAAAAGUCGUUAGUCAAGCACUUUCGCAAAAAAACAAAGGAGGAGUAAGUGUUCAUGCCCCGUUCUUGAUAAGAUGGAAGCAAAUGCAUCAUUCAAGUUAUUCUUGGCCAAAAUUCAUUCAUCAUUUUCAAAAGGCUUCAUGAAAGUGAGCUCAACAUUGUUGGUUGUGUGUAAGUUUAAAAGUACUUCAUAUCUCAAGAUACCAUUGAUUCUUAUUUUCUCUUUUCAAAAAUAAAAGUUCAAGUAAUUUGACAUCACAAGUAGGGAUGGCAAUGCACCCACGGGUACCCACCCCGCGGGGGGCUCUCGGGGGGGGGGAAUUUUUUCCCCCGCUUUCCCCCCGCUUAGAAACGGGGCGGGGGGCGGGGGAGUAUACCCCGCCCCAUCCCCCGCCCCGCCACCCGCAAAAAUAUAUAUAUAAUUAUAUAUAAUAUGUAAGUUAAUUAGUUAUAAACUUAUGAUAAUGAUAUUACUAGUUAGAUGUAUUAUAUAAUGUAUAUUAGUUUAUGUAAUAUAAUGGAUAUUAUCAAUUAUAUAAUUAUACAUGUCUACUAAUAGAAUUUAUUAAUUAGUUAUACUAAAUUUACUAAUACAUUUAUACUAAAUUUCUAAUUACACUUAAUAGAAUAACACUUUUUUCUCAAAAAAAAGCACAAACACAAUAAUGAAUUAGUGAUUGUAUUUGUACUAAAAGUGAAAACUUGACUAUUUUAAUUAUAUUUAUUUCAUCAUAUUGGAUUGUAUUCAAAUAACUUCUGUUUGAUUGUUUUUAUGAGUUUCAAUUGUAAAAUUACAAUGAAUAAUAAUUUGGUGAUGUGUUGGCGGGGCGGGGGCGGGGCGGGAGGCGGGGGACGGGGCGGGGGUCGGGGGAAUUAAUAGGCGACGGGGCGGGGGACGGGGGAGGGGUCCCCCGCCCCAUCCCCGCCCCGUUGCCAUCCCUAAUCACAAGCCCGAUUACUGAGACAUAAAGGCAAGUAUAAGUGUUUUACAUGUUUUUCAAAUUAAGAAUAUGUUAUACAUCCCCCAAAAAAUCUUAAAAGAAAAAAAAACUUCCUUUCUUGCUUGAAAAAUUGCAUUGUAACGCGUUCUAUUGUUGGGCCAAUUAAGCCUCAUGAACGAGAUACGGAAGUCAUUGUCUACGAGUAAAUUUUCAAAUUCGGCUGCCUUUUGAAGCUAGUUCGCAAAACGUAAAAGUUUUUAAACAAAGAACGCAUUUACUAUAUCCAAUGUUUAAAAAUUUAGAAAAAAAAAUAUAGUUUUAGUCCUUAUUGUUUAGUCUCUGUAUAGUUUUAGAUCUUAAAGUUUCGGCAAAAGUAAAUCUAGUCGUUAAUGUAUAGUAUAUGUACAGUUUUAGCUCUCCGAGGAUUGGUUUGGCGGUUGAGGUUGCUGAAGAUGGAGACUUAGGUCCCUGGUUCGAAUCUUGCUGCCAGCAAGUUGUGGAGGGUAGGGAAUAGUCUGUGGAGUUCACUCCCUGCGGGACACCCCUAAAACAAAAAAAGUAUAGUAUAUGUACAGUUUUAGACUUUAAAGUUUUGGCAAGAGCAAUCCGAUUUUCAAUGUCACCAAUUUGAAGCAUUUUAAGGACCAUUGGUAAAUUUUUCUAAAUAUUAAUCAAAUCAGACACGUGCAAUCACAUGUUUGUUAAAAAAAACUUCUUAAAAGAGAAUCAAAAUAAUGAGCAAUCUUUAACAAUAAGAAUAACUUGCAUGCUAACACAUUAGUAACAAAUUACUUAAGAAAAAAAGAAAGAAAAUUUGUUAAUCUAUACUAAAAAUUAGGAAUUACAUUUUUUUACUUGGAGACACUAGAGAUAGUUAGUGAACAUGAAUUCUAGAUCAAUGAACUUGGUAUAUUGAAGUUUGAGUUUAGAAAUUUUCCUUCUUUUUAUUGGUUAAAUAGUUAACAGAUGAGUUAUUAGUUCUUAAUUUUAUUGUUUAAAGUUAGCUACUAUUUUUCUUCUUUAUUUUGAAAUUUAAUUUAAUAGGCACAUGCAUGAGUAAAUUUUAUUAGUAAUUGAGAUAAAAUUCUUCAAAUGUCCUAAAUCAACUUUAAAUUGAAUAUAAGGUGGACCAGAUUUGUUCUUACUAAAACUUUUAUGGACUAAAACUACACAUGUACUAAAUAUUGAGGAUCAUGACUGUUUUUGUUAAAACUUUAAGGACUAAAACUGCAUAUGGACUAAACAUUAAGAAUUAAAACUACAUUUUCUUCAAAUAUGGAAUAUUUAUGCCUACAAAGAAUGAAAAGUGGCAUUCAACAAAUGCAACUUUUUAAUAAUUAGGAUUGGUUCAAUGGUUAAGAGAGGACUCUUAAAGUUUUUCUCGCUGUCAAAUUUAGGAUUUGAAUCCUGUGCCGAAUAAUUGAGAGUAGGAAGUAUGUGGGUAUGAGUGGGAGGAUUAAAAAAAAACUGCAACUUUUGAAGUUGCAAAAGGCGCAUUUGAAUCCUUUCAGUUUUUUUACUAACAAAUGACGUGAAUUGCUAUAUGCUUUUCUCCAGUGUGAUUGCGAUUAAAGUUUCUUGUCCCUCUCUGGUGGAACUGACACACAAUUUUUCAAUAAGAAAAAGAUGAAGGGCCCGGCAACAACAGUGAUGUGAAAAUGCCAAGCAACUCCCAUUGCAAAAGCAUCCAAAUUCGGAUAAUUCAACAUUGGCAAUAAUUCAUACAGUAAUUCAGAUAUUUUCAGUAACAGGCCCCGGCAUUGAAUCAUCCAAUUUCCUACUGAAUUGAAGCAUUUGUCACAUAAUUGUCAUUAUUUAUUUCUUGGACCAAAGCAGGGUUGUUAAUGUGAGCAUAAAUGUCUCAUGUGAUAACGGUGGUGGUACAAUUUAAGCAUGGGUUUAUGUUACAGUUAAUAUACGAACACAAAGGUCAAUGUGUAAUCCUAAAAAAUGGGUAAUUGAUUAUGAAUUGUCUAAUUAUAAGGACAUAGAAUAAAAUUUUCUCUUAAUUUCUUAAAUUGGAGAAUAAAAAAAGCCGGUAACUCGUAGUUGACUUAUUAUACAAAUAUAUAUAUAUAUGUUGUUUCUUCAGCUUUAUAAAUUUUUGGUACAAAAUUUUUUUUAUUUUCUUAAGAAUAAAAAUUUUGAAAAAUAUAAUUUGGAAUAAAAGAGAGAAGACAGGGGAAAAAAUAUAUCAACAUAGUAGAGAGAGUUAUAUCUGUCUUUUAGGAAGUCAAGUGUCACAAAAUAAAAAUUAGGGAGUAAAGUGACAAACAGGGCAUAACUUACCGGGAUAAAUGUAAACAGGGCACUACACUGAUGGAGGCCCCCUGAUGUGAACAGCUGAUGGCCGCCUCCAUUGACCCAUCUUAGUAUUGUCACGGCCGACAAAAUUUGGUCUAAGCUUUCAUACAGCUAUUCUUUAUCAAAUCAUCAUGCAACAUAUAUUUAUUUGUAAACCAAACUUGUAACAAAUAUUUGGAGAAAAUAAAGAAGCUAUUGGUGCCCUCUUCUUGCUUCAAGAUCAGGUAACCUCCUCUUCUAUUCAUAAUUUCUUCAUAGACACUAUUAUGGAUACAUUGGCAUGGGGUGUAUGAUGGAAUUCUAUUUUUGUCACAUGAAUUUUCAAAAUUCCUUAAUGAAUUAAAUUUAAAAUUUCACAUGUUUUAGUUGUUUCUUGGAUAUUUGAUUGUGCUUUUUCUUAAAUACUUGAUAGCUUAUUCUUGGUCUUCUACCUGAUUAUUUGAAUCAUUAUAGGGCUUCAAUAAUUUUUCAAAAUUAUCCCUCUUCAAUAAUAUCUAACAAUCCUGGACGACAAGUAGGAUGAGAGAUUAUGAUGUAUGUAUUUCUAGGAAAGUUCGUUAAUUUGCAUUUAGAUCAAUGUUUAAACAAAUUGGAUAACUGAUAAUUUAUUCCUGUUGAAUCAAUUUAUGCUGCACUCAGUACUGAUCUUAAUCACUUACAACUAUGAUCAGAUUAUCACCAAUUAAUGGCUUGGCAUAAUCACUCGUAAGGCAGCAUACGACAUGAAAUAAUUGAUUUUUUUCCAACAAGUAUUGGUGGCAAACUAUGAUCUGAUUUGCAACAAAUUUAUUAUUUUAGUUACCUACUGACUCAUAAAAACAAAUACACUAACAUUAAUACUUUUAGAUGGAUAAGAAAUCACACGAAGAUUCAAAUCAGUUUCACAUUCAACAAAAACCAUGACAAUUAGUUGGUGUUAUUACACAAUUAAGGCCCCCACCAGUGACUAAAUCAGAUUGCGCUAAAAUUAUUUUGAAGUGACCCCACACAAUUUGAUUAAUCACAAUUAUACUAAUCUGAAUCUCACACAUCAACCCACUGGAAUCGUUAACUCAUCUCUCUCUUAUUCUGACUGGCUUCUAUUCUGAUUUCUACCAUUUGUUGCUGAAACAUUCCUUCCAUCUCUGAUAUCAGAAAACCUUUCGAUCCUAGUUCCAAUUCCAAGCAAGAAACAAUGGCUAACGCUGCUAUCAGUGCUGCUGUUAAGGUCGUCUUGGGGACACUUAUUUCCAUUGCUGCGGACCGCAUUGGUAUGGUUCGGGGAGUCGAAGCGGAAUUGGAGAGACUAAGCAAAACUGCUGCAAUGAUCCAAGGUUUCUUGGCUGAUGCUGACGAGAAAAUGCAUACCCAAGGGGUGCGAGAGUGGCUCAAACAGCUAGAGGAUGAGGUUUUUAAAGCUGAUACCGUGCUGGACGAGCUCUACUACGACAAUCUUCGUCGGGAGGUGAAGUACCGAAAUCAACCAAUGAAGAAGAAGGUAUACUUCAUCUUCUCCUCCUUUAAUGCAAUUGGUUUUAGUUCCAGCUUGGCUUCAAAGAUCCGGCACAUCAACACCAGCCUAGAAAGGAUCAACCAACGAGCCCGUGACUUGGGAUUGGACAUUAAGUACCAAAUUGAAGCUGCACCCCUGCUGAUGCCGCUGGUGCCAGACAGACCGACUCUAUUGUCGUUCCGAACGUUGUAGGAAGAUCCGGCGACGAGUCAAAGAUUGUGGACAUGUUAUCGAGCCCAUCUGAAAAUGUUCUUUCUGUUAUUCCCAUAACAGGCCCGGGAGGUUUGGGAAAGACAACUCUGGCGAAAUCAGUCUACAAUAAUCCAAAAAUAGAUGGGCACUUUGGCCAAAAAAUUUGGGUUUGUGUGGCUAAAGAACACAUUAAGAUAAUGGACCUGUUCAAGCUCAUUUUAGUACAAUUGACAGGAGAAGAAGUUAAAGUGGAUGACAGGGAUGUUAUUGUUAAAAGAAUCGGAGAAAAGCUCAAGGGACAAAAUAUUUCCUUGUUCUUGAUGAUGUGUGGGAUCAUGAACAAGGCUUGUGGAAUGAUUAUUUCAACACUUUGAUGGGACUCAACGAAACCAAAGGAAGCUGGUGUCUUGUCACCACUCGUCUGGUACCAGUGGCAAAUGCUGUGUCUAGACCUCUGAAGAUGAACGGUGGUCCUUAUUUCUUAGGAAAGCUAUCAGGUGAUGAGUGCUGGUCCAUCAUAAAAGGAAAGGUGAUGAGUGCAGGGGAAGAAGUACCAAAAGAAUUGGAAGCAUUGAAGAAGCAAAUUUUAGGGAGAUGCGAUGGCCUACCCUUGGCGGCAAGUUUGAUUGGUGGCUUGUUGCUUACCAACAGAAGAGAGAAGUGGCACUCCAUUGUGCAGGAGAGUCUUUUGAAUGAAUAUCAAAGCCAAAUUAAUCAAAUACUUAAGGUGAGCUUUGAUCAUUUGUCAUCUCCAUCAGUUAAGAAAUGUUUUGCAUAUUGCUCGAUUUUUCCCCAGGACACUAAAUUAGGAGAAGAUGAACUAAUUCAGCACUGGGUUGCAGAAGGUUUUGUUCAACCAGAUCGCCAAAACCAAAGAUUGAUGGAGGAAAUAGUGGGUGAUUAUUUGAGGAUUUUGUUACAAAAUUCCUUAUUGGAAAAAGUAGAAGAGUCGUGGGGAACAUAUUAUAAAAUGCAUGAUCUCGUGCAUGAUUUUGCAAAAUCAGUUCUCAAUCCUAAAAGCAGCAGCCAGGAUCGCUACCUUGCAUUACACUCAUAUGAAGAAAUGGCAGAAAAUGUCAGAAGGAAUAAAGCGGCAUCAAUCCGCUCGUUAUUUCUCCAUUUAGGGGUGGCAUAUCUACUGACAUGCUUUUAAGAUUCAAGUGCUUGAAUGUUCUCAAAUUGUCUGGAGAUGAUGUCAAGUUUCUACCGAGCUCCAUUGGCAAACUACUACAUUUGCGGUUGCUCGACAUUUCAUCUUCUAGAAUCACAAGUUUGCCAGAAUCUCUUUGCAAGCUAUAUAAUCUGCAGACACUAACGAUGAGAAAUGGUGCACUUAAAGGAGGUUUUCCAAAACGGAUGAGCGAUUU
rnacentral:lncRNA from 1 species